rnacentral:lncRNA from 1 species
CACUGGAUUCUGCUAAAUAUUGAACUUCACACCUUCAGAGUUCUAAUCAUGGACUCUAUGGAUUCGGAUCCAAAGCGUUGGGCCGACAUGAGAAAAAUGCUGCAAAAGUAAUUAUUUUCAAUCAUUUGAGCUCUAUAUCGAUCGGUCUCUUUCGUUCAUUUCCUAAUAUCAAGUAACUAAUAACUCCCUUGUUCAUUUAAUUUUCUUUGCCUUGUAGGGUUUGGAGACGGUUCUCAGAAGAAAUUGUCGGUGAAUUCAAACAUGAGCUAGAUUUCAGAAGGUUAGUUAAUGUGGAUAAGCAGCCACCGGGGACCAAUCUAUGUGGAUACUAUGUUUGUGAGAACAUCCGGAGACACACCUCUGAGCGGAAGGCAUCGGAUAGCGUGCGGAACGCGACGGAUAACUUGCGGAGGAGGCUUAGUCCAGAAGCUCGCUUCCGACCAAUUCAAGAAGAAUUAGCAGGAUUUUUCAUGAGGGAAGUCAUCAAUCCUAAAGGAGAACACUAUACCGAGGACGAAGAAAUUUAUAUGCAUACCCGAGAUUGAAACUUGUACGAAGUUGUAUAUGGUCAUCCAUCCUAAUUGUGUAUGGAAACUUGUUCGAAGUUGUAUAUGGUCACCCGAGAUUGAAUAUAUAUUAUAUAUUCCUCUUGAAUUCUUCUUGUUUGAAAUUUCAUAUGCAUGUAUAUAGUAGCGUAGAAUAUGUGUACUGAAACUUUAUCAAAAUUAAAAUAAAACACAAAAUAUAAUAUAAAAGAAAUAAAACACUCCAAACUAAAAAGAAACCAGGUUUAGGGGGGCUAAAACCCUAAACCUGCGGAGGAGGCCUUUAGUCCCGGUUGGCCACGAGAGCCGGGACUAAAGGUCCUCCGCCCCGACGGACCACGGGCGCCCACGUGGACGGGCCUUUAGUCCCGGUCAGCCACAAGAACCGGGACUAAAGCCUUUAGUCGCGGUCCGUAAGAGGCGCGACUAAGGGGGGGAGGAUCUUUAGUCGCGCAUAUUUAGUCCCGGUUGCACAGCCGGGACUAAAGGCUGUUGCGAACCGGGACUAAAGGGCUUUUUUCUACCAGUGGAGCUCCAUGGAGCUCGGCCUUUGCAACGCCACACUCCUAAAUGGGCCGACUACUAGGGCUGCCAAUUACAGGUAUUCUUUAUUUGUUCAUAAACAUCAAAAACCGUGUAUUCAUUUUUUACACACUGAAAACUAUGAUUACAAAUAAAUUGAUAAUGGAAACUGUUUGCUUAUUAUGGAAUAGUGUCGUGCAUUUAAAAGUUGAUGUUCAUGAGUUUAAAAAGAAAUGUUCACGUACUUCAAAAAGUAUUUACAUAACUCGAAGGAGAUGUUCAUGUAUUCAAAUAAAAAUGUCCAUACAUAUGAAAUAAAUCCUUAUGACUUAAAUAAAUCACGUUUUAAAAGUAAAUGUUCACAUACUACCAAAAUGUUCAACUGUUUGUAAAAAAAGAUGUAAAUAAUAAAUAAUAGUGAACUUUUAAAAAUAGAAACAACAAAAAGUAAUCCCUGAUCAUGGGCAGUAUGAUUUGAUCUAUACUCUUUGCAAUGAGUGUAUGAUAGGGUUCACUCAUAAAACUUACACCUCGCGUAUUGCGAAAUAUAGCAAGCACUUGCCAAUGUGCGCGUGCACAUUUACCACAGCCCAGCACAACUUGUUUUGGUUUUUAUUGUUUGUUGUUUGUUUAAAUUUCCGUUAUUUCUUUCCGUUUUGUGUCUCUUAUAAUUUCUAUUUUUUUUUGUUACUUUUUCUUAUUUCUUGUAUUUAAUUUCUCGCAUUUUUACUCCUCUUUCCUUUUUUUUCUUCUGUUUGACCAUUUCUUUUUAUUUUUGGUAUAUCAUAUUUUUUUGGUUACGUAUAUUAACACUACAUUUUAAGAAAAAUCGUACUUUUAAAAACAUACAAACAUUUUAUGAAAAAGGUUAACACUUUAAGAAAACAAAUGAAUUUCACAAAAAUAUUUGAAUAAUUUUGAAUUAAUUAUAUAUUUUUCCAAAAAUCAGAAUUUUAAAAAAAUUACAUGAACAUUUUGGAAGAGCUCUGCUUUUUGUAAUGCUGCAUUAUUUUUCGGUAAAAGUAUGUGAACAUUUAUUUAUUUAGAUAAACAUGUCUAAAAAGUGUGUGAAAAUGUUUUUAUGUACAUUAAUACUUUCUAAAAUAUGUUAACACUGUUUCAGUUAGAUGAGAAUUUUUAAAUACGUAAAUACUUUUUGGUUACAUGAAUGUUGUUUAAAAAGUACGUGUAUAUUUAAUGCAGUAUGCAAACAGUUUUUAGAAGUACAUGAAUUAUUUAUUUGUUUAGACGUGCAUGUAUGUUUUACAACAAAUGAUGUUUUACCUACCAAUCGUGGACAUAAGGCUAUUGGGUUGGCCAUCUUGGCGUGUCCCAUUAACAGGUAUUUCUUCUUUUUUUUGAUAAAUUGUGAAAGUAUAUUUAUCUUGCUAAUAUUCAUGCACUUUCAAAAAUGUUUACUGAAUUUCCAAAAAAGCCAAAAAGUCAAAAAAAUAAAAUGAAAAGGAUAAGUAGAAAAAAUGCCGAACCCGUGGGGAAAAAUAGAAAAGACUCGCAAUGAAAAUCAGUAGAACCAACUAUAGCUACAGUUACCGCUCUUGUAUGUAGCCUGCCACUAUGACGCUCUCGUCUGUGUGUUUCAGCGACAAUUUGUGGCAACGGGCAAAGAAUAUGAAAUUCCCUUUGUUAUGGGCUUUGUGUACACGCCACGCCCCUAAGCCUAAGGAAAACAUUUUGGCCCGUGAGAGAUUACCUCAGGAGAUGUAUGUAUUUUUUACAUGGCUCGAACAAGGUUCAAGUGACGCAAGUGUCCGAUGGAAGUAGAUGAAGCUCCCAGUUUCUUGUUAUCGCAUGUACUACUCGAUGUAACUCUGUCAAACAGAGAGUGGGACCCAGCUAACAGCGGAUGAGUAGUGCUGAUUGGGCCCUACUCUGGGACUCAGGUUCCCGCGUAAUAUGAUGCCAUAUAGCUGCAUUUUCUGAACCGUUAGCGGCACAAUUUUUAAGAUGAUUAUCAAACCAAACGCCCCUAAGCCUAAGGAAAACAUUUGUGUUCUGCGAUCAGCGCCUAAUUCUUACAAUGGUCAGAACACGUGGUAUUUAAGAUGUAUGGUGGAAGAAGACCCUUAGAUGGCUAGAGAGCCUUGACUAUGGUGCUGUCCAUGGUCCCUUUUGUUGCUUGACGAGCCUGCGCGCUCUGUACGGGCUAUGCCCUGUAAUUUGUCUUCGGUUCGGUUGAGUCGCGCAUGAAACUUUCGAUGAUCCUUUUGCGCUGGCCGGGUAGGCCUGUGGGGUUGUAAUAUGACUUGUUCACGCUGCCGCUGUGGCUUUAUUAAUUUAAAGCCGGACGCGUUCGUGCGUCUUCGUUCUAAAAAAAAGACCAUUAGAUCGAAGUAAAGCAUCACAAGAACAAUAUUAUCAUAGAAAACAACAUCACAAAAGAUACAACAAGGCCAACAGUAGGUGGAGGCGUAUGCACUUGAGAAAGGAUGCGUGUGUGCUGAUAUCUCUACCUCAACUGAUCAAGAUUACAACAAAUUCAGCACACAUGCAUGCGUUACUGUCCACCCUAGACUACUCUAGAAGCCCAUGGUGUACACACCAUAUGUCUGCUUGUACAAAUUCCAACACUUUUUGUCAAUCGCUACUUUAUCAAGUUGAGAAAUGUGCCCCUUUGGCCAUAACAAAGCUUUGCUUUUGGGUCUGUAUCAAACCGCUUUAUUUGUUUUGUACUACUUUUUGUUGUAAACGCUUUUAAGGGCUUCAGUUCGCUAAAGCCAGGCAAGCGCCUCCUUUCUAAAAGAUUGUUCCUAAAGUUAUCUAGUUUUGCCUGUUAGAUAAUCGCUUUGGAAACACAUGUACAACUUGUGCCGGGAUGCGUGCGUGUUGAUAUAAGGUGCCGGUUUGGCUAGAUUACAGAGGAGUUCGGUUGAGACGUGGAUUGGAUCCCAAGUUAGCUAUAUAGAUAAGGAUCCUUUCUCUCUCCCAACCAGAUCUGCAUCAGGCGUGUGUGGUAAACAAAACCAAAAUCAGUUCAGAAAGCGCCAUUUCUGACUGGACAAGCUUAUUUCUGACAUAUCUGAUUGCAAAAGCUAGGUUCACUGGCCUAGCUAACGGCAGAGACAUCUUUUUCAUAGUAUAAAUAGACCCCUUAAUUAAGCUCAUGGCCAUAUCCAACAAACCAUUUGUUGUAGAACAUCAUCCAUAGCCAGCAGCCACAAUGGAAGCGAGCGCGCAACAAGGCAACUAUGUCCAAGUCUACGUCAUGCUCCCUGUAAGCACCAUCCAUUCAACUCAAUCUCUACGCACCAUGCACUACAACUAUUUCAAGGAUCUAAUUGACACAUGCAAUGCUGUACAUAUAAUACCGUUAUUCGUAACACUCUAGUUUAAAGGGUGAAGUUAACAAGAUCUGAGGCCUCAAAUGAGCAUUUUUUUGGUACUAACCUUGACUUCGUUUUCGUUGUGGAAAUAAAUAGCUGGACAUCGUGAGCGUGAACAACAGGUUCGAGAAGGGUGACGAGCUCAGGGGGCAACUGAAGAGGCUGGUAGAGGCCGGUGUGGAUGGUGUCAUGGUAGACGUCUGGUGGGGCUUGGUGGAGGGCAAGGGCCCCAGGGUGUACGACUGGUCCGCCUACAAGCAAUUGUUUGAGCUGGUGCAUGAGGCUGGACUGAAGUUACAAGCCAUCAUGUCAUUCCACCAGUGUGGUGGCAACGUCGGUGACGUCGUCAACAUCCCGAUCCCGCAGUGGGUGCGUAAUGUCGGAGUGAGUGAUCCGGACAUUUUCUACACCGACCAGCACGGGACUAGGAACAUUGAGUACCUCACCCUUGGAGUUGAUGACCAGCCUCUCUUCCAUGGAAGAUCUGCCGUCCAGGUUAAUUUUAAACCACCACUCUAGUUCUCUCGUACUUAUUUUUUUUCACUCAAAUGUGUGAUGUUUUGUGUAUAUUAGAGAGAAAAUUUCAAGAUGAAUCCAAAUACAAGCAAAAGGCCAAAAGGUGGCAAAAAUAUAUAACAAAAGAAACGAAAUCUAGCCAGUGAAAAGAAUAUAGAGCCUAACCAACAACAACAUCGAGAAGGUUACUAGAGAGGAUGAGUCUUGACAACACUUCAGCUCUCAUGCAUUUUUUUGGGGGGUGUGAAAAACACCGACCUCUGAAUCGAUUGAUGCAGACAAUAUUCUAUUGUAAGCUAUUAGGAAGAACAAAUAGUUGUGAUUUUGAUAGGUACAAUGUGCUGAUGAUAGAAUGCUUUGAUUCUUCUUCGUGGCUGUGACAGAUGUACGCCGAUUACAUGGCAAGCUUCAGGGACAACAUGAAAGAGUUCUUGGAUGCCGGUCUUAUUGUAGACAUUGAAGUCGGACUUGGCCCAGCUGGAGAGUUGAGGUACCCAUCCUAUCCUCAGAGCCACGGAUGGUCAUUCCCAGGCAUCGGAGAAUUCAUCGUGAGUGUUUUCUUCUCGAAUAAAAAUGCUUCCUCUUCUGUUCCGACCAAUAUAUACUUUUGCAUGUAACAUGUGAUGACCAAAUGCGGUUUAGUAUCGUCCAAGUGACAAUCUACAUUGGAAAAGUUUUUUCAACAAACCAACACCCAAAUGAAAAGUGAUUCUUAUGAAAAAUGCAAGGAUAAAAUGGCAAUUUCAGAUCAGAACAAGGCAUGGCUAAACCCGACUUCAUCAGUUCUGCUAUCCCAUAUACCCCUGUCCCAAUUUUCUCUUUUUUAUUUCUCCUAUAUAAGACAUCAUACAAACUUGAUACAUUCGAACUACAAUAUGAGAAAAAUAUAGGAUUCAUUUGUGCAACAUAAAUACAUAAACUGAUAUUUUUAUUGGGAAAAGACAGAUUUCAUAUAUUUAUGCUACACCAAAAAAAUAAUCCAAAAUGGCUUUCUGCACAUUAUAGUCCAUAUUUCAAGUUCAUAUAUUAUUUUUUGGAAGAAACAAAAAAUAAGUAUCUGUAUGGUGAGAAUAGUGGGGGAGGGGGGGGUGUUGCACCUGAAUCCAAGUUUAGGAAGGUUACCAUUACUUUUGGCUUCCGAGAGACAAGUAUCAUAAGCAAAGACAAGGCCAUCUAAAAAUAGAUGAUAGGAAAUAAUUAAAACAAAUGUAAAAUAAUCUAUACCAUCACCAUUAAAGACAAAAUGACUCCAUUUAUUAACUGUUUUAACUAAUAGUACAAAUAAAAAAAAAUCUGCAGUGCUAUGAUAAGUACCUGCAAGCAGACUUCAAAGCAGCAGCAGCGAUGGUUGGCCAUCCUGAGUGGGAAUUUCCUCGCGAUGCCGGGACGUACAAUGACACUCCCCAGAGAACUCGAUUCUUCGUGGACAACGGAACAUAUCUCACUGAGCAGGGGAGGUUUUUCCUUGCAUGGUACUCCAAUAACCUGAUCAAGCAUGGUGACAAGAUCUUGGACGAAGCAAACAAGGUCUUCUUGGGACACACAGUGCAACUGGCAAUCAAAGUAAGUACCAUCAUCCUAAAGAUCUCAGUUUAUUACAAUAGUAGAUAGGAUUUGAGAACCCAUGAUUCAGUUGAGAAGUAGUGUAUGAUAAACUACAAAAAAUACACAAAUUCAUUAUAACACUCUAGGCUAAAGGAACUUGCAUUUUCUUAAUCUAGAAUGUAAAUGAGACAUGGCCAAAUCUUUGGUUACAGAUCUCUGGCAUUCACUGGUGGUACAAGGUUCCAAGCCAUGCAGCCGAGGUCACAGCUGGGUACUACAACUUACAUGAUAGAGACGGCUACAGACCCAUAGCACGCAUGCUCAAAAGGCACCAUGCUAGUCUUAACUUCACUUGCGCCGAGAUGAGGGACUCGGAGCAAAGCUCACAGGCGAUGAGCGCACCGGAAGAACUAGUCCAACAGGUAGGUACCUUGUGCCUCCAGAUUUUACGCUUAGACAUCUCUGAUAGACACAUCUCACGUACUUGUCGUCGAAAUUCUCAGGUGUUGAGCGCUGGAUGGAGAGAGGGCCUAAAUAUGGCAUGCGAAAAUGCACUUCCUCGAUAUGAUCCAACUGCUUACAACACCAUACUCAGGAAUGCGAGGCCUCAUGGCAUCAACAAGAGCGGCCCUCCUGAGCACAAGCUGUUUGGAUUCACCUACCUUCGGCUGUCGAAUCAGUUGGUGGAGGGACAAAACUAUGUCAAUUUCAAGACCUUUGUUGACAGAAUGCAUGCCAACCUGGUUAGUGCCACAACCACUUAUUCACGCAUGUAAAAAAUAAAACAGAGGAAUCAUAAAUUUGUUGAUUUGCAUCGGCCUAUAAUAAUAAUGUAAUUUGAUCCUUUUCAGCCUCAUGACCCAUGUGUUGAUCCAGUGGCGCCUUUGCAAAGAUCAGGGCCAGAACUGACGAUUGAAAUGAUCCUACAAGCAGCGCAGCCAAAACUGGAGCCAUUCCCCUUUGAAGAGCACACCGACCUGCCAGUUCAAGGCCUCGGUGGCAUCGGUGGUGGGGAGGUUGAAGACCCCACUGGUGGCAUGGGUGGGGAGGUUCAACAAGACCCCACUGGUGGCAUGGGUGGGGAGGUUCAACAAGACCCCACUGGUGGCAUGGGUGGGGAGGUUGAAGACCCUACCGGUGGCAUGGGUGGGGAGCUCCCUCCCACCGUGUAGUGAAACCUUUACUAUCUACAAUACCUUUUAUGUUGUGUGUCACAGAGAAACCUUUCUCUGCCUUAUUAACAAUAAAUAAAGCACAUUACUUGUGCGUGUUCUGGAAGAAAAAUCUCAGCGUUGUAGUCUACGAGAAGGGUUAAUCGUCUCUUUGUGAGAAUUGACGCGCCCUAAAAGUAAGCCGAUGAGGAUAAAUAAGAUGUGGUGCUACGGUACAUCAUGAGGAUUACUCAUCAAUAUUGGAUUAGUCAUCAGAAGGAUGCUUUUCCGACGAGCUGUAGUACAUCAGACCUUACAUACCUCCAUUAUGUGCAUAUGAGUGAAUGAAUAAAGUAUAUUGUGCUCAUUUAGUGAUUGUAUAUGGGUCCAUCAUUUUGGAUUUUGUCGUGGUCUUGGAAUACGGUGGGAAGGAUAUCUAGUGCAUGUUCACGAUUACCACUCGCAUGGUUUUGACUUCACCUGGCAUUGUCUACCUUCCUGCAGAAUGUUACGUGGUAAACUACUAAGUGUCCAAUCUACUUCGAUGGAUCUUUUGACCAUUUUGGAUGAAGAGUUUUAGAAAAAAGUUUCAUCUUUGUAAUCAAGCCGUAAAUUUUGUUUGUAGUUUGGUCGGAGUUUACAAAGCUACUCAAGAUGAUCAUAAACUAUCUUUUCUUCGUGAACCGGUCAAUCUUACUAAAGAAAACCUAUAUUCAAUAUUCAUUGUUCAUGGGUGGGGAAUUCAACAUCCUAUGGUUUCAGCAACGAUAAAAAAUAAUUAGUUUGACAGUACUUUCUUAUUCAGCAUUGCCAUUGACAAUUUGGAUCUACCUGAGAUAUUUCUGGACACCAAUUUACCUGGGCUAAUAACCGGCUAGAGUCGACAUUUGAAAAUAUGGGUCACGUGCCAAUGGAUGCUGGUUGGGAAUUGAAAUUUCUUUUGGUAACAAUCCAUGCUUUGGAACGUAUCAAAGCACUGCAAAACACCGCUCAGUCAAGUUCGAAUGGUUUGUUGGAUGGUCGAUGAUGGGUGGAUCGCCUUCCCAAGGGUUAAAAUCAAAAAAUCCGCACUUUGCAACAGCUCCUCGCAUGAUAGGAAUUAAACACCGCGGCAUAUACUAUGAAAAACGCUCAUAUCCGACCGGGUCUUUUAACUAUGGCACAGCCCAUUAGCACAUACUUUUAUAGUAUGUAUUUUUUAUCUUCUAUGUGUUCCAAAAAUAUUAUUAUAAAUAAAUUAUAACAAAAAGUGUUUGUGUACUGGGAACAAGUGUUGCGUGUUUUAAAAUAAAUGUGCAUGACGUCAAAAACAAAUGUUUACAUAGAUCGCGAGGGAUAUUUAUGUAUUCGUGAACAAAAUGUUAAUAUGUAUAAAAAAGGUUAAUGACUUCAAAAACAGUUUUACGAACUUAAAAAUAUUUUUUCUUGUAUACCUUUCUUUGCAAUGAAUGUGGAAUACGGUUGAGGGAGAGUUUCCAUAUGACGGCCUUAAGCGGGAACUGUUGGAGUGAAUGUCGAAAGGAAAUCAUAAUGGGCUGGGCNNNNNNNNNNNNNNNNNNNNNNNNNNNNNNNNNNNNNNNNNNNNNNNNNNNNNNNNNNNNNNNNNNNNNNNNNNNNNNNNNNNNNNNNNNNNNNNNNNNNNNNNNNNNNNNNNNNNNNNNNNNNNNNNNNNNNNNNNNNNNNNNNNNNNNNNNNNNNNNNNNNNNNNNNNNNNNNNNNNNNGAGAAAACAUUCACUUAUUUCAAGCCAGGAUGGACAUGGUAUGGAAAUGUCACAUAAAGCAAUGUUCAUGUAAAAGAAAACUUGUCCUCAUAUAUACUGUGCACCUCCUUUUUUGUUAAGGUAUCGUGAGCUAUGCGUAUAGGAAUUUGCUGAGUUUACGGGCUGGCCGUUUGUUCUGCUCCUAUUUUUUUUUGGCACAGUACAAUAAAAGUCGCCCACAUACACGAGUAUAGACCUACGCCUAUGAACGCACACCCUAUCCCUAUAAGCACCUUGAAAGACUGAGCCGGCAUAACAUCUUAAGAUUUUACGUAGUCACCACGGACGCCUCGCAGUCGACGGGAAUGUUUCCUCCGGGUUUACGGGCUGGCCGUUUGUUCUGCUCGAGUAAUGCUACAUGGAUGAUUACGGGGGUUUUACAGGUUCGUUAUGACUUGGCAAAUGGUUAUUGGGUUAAAGGGGGGGAGGGGCCCCACCCACCUGAACCUCCCUGUAAUCAUCCGUGAAUGUAGCAUUUUUAGUUCUGCUCCUAGUUUUGGGCUGUCAGUACUGGCUCGUACGAGUUUAUCGGUCCCUGUACGUGGGCCCGAACAAGGUGCAUUUUUUUCGUGUGGUACAGUGAAAACGUACGUUCCAUGCUGUACACGGCGCCAGAUAUGGUCACGUGAGGUCCAGGUCGUAACAAGAAACGGAAACAUGAGGAGACGAUCGCGUUUGGAAGGGUGCGCAUGAAUGGACUCGUCUGCUAGCUUUCGCCUACCGCCCACCGAUCGAGCGGCGAGAGCGCAACCAACAUCGACCAACUACCCAGCUAGCUGACCUCUACCGACCGGACUUGAAUGCAGUACCUACGUGCUACGUCGGCGGCGAUGGCCGCGUACGCUGGCUACGUGCCGCAUGCAUGGCGAGCUCGGACCGUGCGUGGCCAGCUAUAGAUACGUACGUACCCCAUGAGCCCCUAGAAACACCUGCCACUGCGAGAGCGAGCGUGUGAGCAGAUCGACGACGACGACAGCCAUGGCGAUGAUGAGGAAGGAGGCAGUGGUGGCGCUGAUGCUGGCGCUGGUGCUGCUGGCGGAAGUGCCUGGCUGGGCACGCGCGGAGUGCCAGGUGACGCAGCUGGCGGUGUGCGCGUCGGCGAUCCUGGGCGGGACGAAGCCCAGCGGCGAGUGCUGCGGCAACCUCCGGGCGCAGCAGGGGUGCUUCUGCCAGUACGUCAAGGACCCCAACUACGGGCACUACGUCAACAGCCCCCACGCCCGCGAGACACUCCAGACCUGCGGCAUCGCCCUCCCGCACUGCUAGGCCUCCUAGCCGACCGAGUCUACUCUGCUACGCUAGUUACUCUAGCUGAGUAAGUGCUGUGGUACGCAAGUAUAUGUUGGUAUGUUGGAAUAAAACGAUGGUGAUCUACGGCGUCAGGCUGCUGGCCGGUGAACUUGUGUUGGGGCUUGCAUAGGAUCCAUUGAUUUGUCUCACUAUCACUGCUCAGAUUGUCUACAGUCAGAUUUGGAAAUCCACCCCGUUCCCCUAAAUGUCCGCCGACGCGUUCGGACGUUGUCUCUGGAUAACGCCAGACGACCCCUCAUGUGUCCUUCCCGAGAGGCACUGUCCUUAUAUCUAAACCCUCAAAUUCAUCUAAUCUAUGCACGUGGAUCAUAUAGUAUAAAUUGUUCACCAAUUCAACAAUGUAACAAAGCAAAAUAAACCACAAUUCAACAAUCCGGACAUGGCAAAAAUAAAAUUCAACGUCCGAGCCACGACUGGACAAUCUGAUGAAUCACUCGUUGGAUGUCAUCCGUGUCGUGUGAUCUGCCGCCAUUCGUGGCUCAUGCGCUGCCUCGUAAUCUCUAUGCAUGUUGAUCUCCUUCUUCCUCUCCUCAAGCCACUUCUUGCCUUCCGCACCCAACAGGCCUGCGUCCGCCAACAUUAUCAUAAAAUUCUUGGUGUCUCGAGCAAAUUGCAACCUCUCCUCAAUCUCUAUUGAUCAAAAGUCCAGGCCUUCUCGAACUCCCAUUUGGGACACGCCUCCUUCUCCAACUAUCUUCUCCCUCUCAAUUUCCAACUUGUUGCUUUCAAUUUGCAACUUAUUCACUACUAGGGAAAAGCUUAUAGGCAGACGCUUACUAGUAGCGUGGAUUUAUACCCCUCGCUAUUGCUACUUACUAGUAGCGCGAGUUUAUAACCCCCGCUACUGCUAAGUCGAUAGUAGUAGCGCGGGUUUAUAACCCUCGCUACUACUAAGUGGUCUCUGCCAUGCCCCCCGACAUACCAUAGUAGCAGCAAGGGGUAUAAACCCGCGCUACUGCUAAGUUGAUAGUGGUAGCGCGGGUUUAUAACCCUCGCUACUACUAAGUGGUCUCCACCGUGCGCCACCCGGGACAUGCCAUAGUAGUAGCGAGGGGUAUAAACCCGCGCUACUACUAUCGACCCACCAAGACAUGUGUACACAUAGCGUGCGGAGGCCCAAAUCCAAACCCACACUCUUCUGAUUCCCCUUCUCUUCCCACCCGCGAUUCCCUUGCUCACCCACCGCCACUACCGGCCUCGCACCUCGGCGCCACUCACAAAUCUGACGACCUCCUCUCGCACUGCAGACCCCUCCCCCUCCAUCAUCCUUCUUCUCCGCUGUUGGAAGGAGAGGGAAACCAGCAGAGCGUCGUCCAUGGUGGCGGCCAGAUCCGCCAUGGACGUAGCCACUUACACCUCCUCGCCGGGUCAAGGGUCCCACGACAAGCAGCAGCAGGUCACCAGGCUUCAUCUAGGGUUUCGGGUGUCGGCUCCAACUCCGGCGGCCACCGGUGAGUUCCUCCUCCUACUGCUCUCUAUCUCUCUCUUCCUCUUUCUAAUAAUUUUCUCUUCUUUUAUAGCAGCAGUAGAAGAGAGGUGCGGGCACAAGUUGGGUGGGGAAGCACCAUCACCAUGGACAACUUCAUCCCCUCCAGGACCGGUAGCAGCCAUGGAUGGAGAGGACGAUGACGCCCAACAGAAGCAGCCUCCAUGGAUGGAAUUUUUUUUUAAUUCUCAAUUAGUUAGUAGUACCGCGGGGCCUUGACCCGCGCUACAACUAAGUAGCAGUAGCGCGGGUGGCAAUCGUGCUACUACCACUAGAAGUAGCAGUAGCGCGGGUACCACCCGCGCUACUGCUAAAAGUUAGUUGUAGCGCCCUAGCUGUAGCGCAGCCCCCGCGCUACUGCUAGGGAAUUACCCCCGCGCUACUACUAGGGUUUUCCCUAGUAGUGAUUGUUCAUCUUCUCCCGGUUCCAAUCCAUCCUCUCUUUCUACAGAUUCAAUAUGCGCUUGUACCCAUCCUCUUUCUUGUCAAUCCUUAUGGAAAAAUGCAUGUCCAUGUGGUGGACAUUUUUUACGUCGCAGCAUCACGAAUGAUCCUACCCUUAUCUCACUUGUUUCACUUUACUUGCCGGUUAUUCAUUGCCACGGUGACUCUUUCAUUACCCAAUGGAACUUCUUCCUCUUCCUUAUGCAAUCCAAUGGACUGGUGGGAGCUUGAGCCAUCAUUUGUCUUUAAUUUCUUGUUGCCUUUCUUGAGGUCAUCCACUACUUUUAUCCACUUUGUUUGGCCAUUAAAUUUUAUCAAAAAUGGCUAAAAUUGAAUGGCUUCUUCUCUGUUUGUUGGUACAAAGUGGCCGCCAACACCAUCUAUAUAAAAAAGUUAUCAUGAUAACCCGACAUAAAAAAAUAGCAAUGCAAAUUGUGACAAAGAAAAUCAAUUCAACUCACAUGACUUUGGACUCCAAUCGCACUUUGAUUCCGGCCACGCACAGAAGCAUAGUGGCCAACAAACUUGUUGACGUGAUCUUCGAUGGUGGACCUUCUAUGUUGGAGAGACGACACAUUACAGGUGGUAUUGUUAGGAUUCGGCUCCACGUAUUCCUUGUGUUCAUUAUAGUGCUUGUGGAUUUUCUCCCAAUACUUGUUAGCCUUCUGCUCUUUGCCACUUAUGGGGUCCAAGCUUAUCGCCAACCAAGAUUUAACCAACAGAACAACCUCAAUUGUUGUGAAUGUCGUACCUAUUGCCUUGCUUUUCUUUGCCCUUUUCUUCUUAGUGCUCGAUGUGCCCCAACAUAAAAAGUAGGAUAAUUUGGAUCCCACAAGGCACAUACUCCAUAGGGUCCGUAGGCUCUUGCCCCUCAUUGAUCAUGUUUGACAUGAAGUUUUCCUAAAAUAAUCAUGAUUCCAAAUAAACUAACGUAAUAUGCAACUACUUGAUUCAAUGGGAUAUGCAACUAACUAAUCCACAACAUCAUAGUUAAUAUAACGAAUGAACCAGUAGAAAAUGGAGCAAAAUUUGUACUGUCUCCUGACGGAUCAUUUCGUCCAACAGGAACCGGGCAGAUUAGGCAUUCUGUCUCCAUGGACGAAUUUUUCUAUGAUCUUUGUUGAGAUCAAAGUUUAUGUUAAUUCCCAUCGUAUCGCGACAACUGCUUAGCGGGGCCGGUAUGGUCCACCAAUAACGGAGUCACAUCCGGCAGAUCUCGGGUAGCGAGUCCCGAGCUAAGUGUGGCCCACCAAUGACAGACUAAAAUCCAGUAGAUCUCGGGUAGGGGGUCCUAAGCUAAGUGUCUCAACGCGGUGGUAAUGUGUGCACGGGUUUUCGCACAGGUUCGGGCUCUCCUAAGAGAUAAAUCCCUACGUCUUGUUGUACUACUUUGGGAUGAAUUACAAGGUUUCGGUGAUCUACCUUGACAUUGUUGUGUGUUUCUAGAUUUGAUGAUGUAAGUUGCGUUCUAUUGUCUAGCCCAGCCUCGGCUUAUAUACGAAUAUCGGAUGACUAGGAUUAGAGGAGUCCAAAUCGCCUAUGUUGUUGGAGAAGAGUCCUCCACGGAUAAGGAGUGCUUGAACGACAAGACUUCUUGAUUUUCCUUGGAGAUCGCCAUGGGCCGCCCAAAGUGGCCCAGGACAGAACCGACAAGGGGGUCCUUAGCGAGGCUCACCUGGCCGGGAGUCAUCAUGGUGAGAGGCCCUCUAGCCAGGACACCGUCACUCAGGGCGUAUGUGUUGGGAAAAGUAGUAGAAAAAAAGAAGAUGUGUCGGUGUAGAUCGCACUGGGAGUUCCUCGGUCCCUUCAAGGGAAGACCGAAAGCGCGACCUCUCUACAAGUUACAAGUGUACAGUCUUCACGAUCCAGCAUCGCUUUGCCAUCUAGAGCUAAUUGUCGCCGGAGAAUUAGAGGAAGGAGAUUAGAACCACAUUGGGCUUCUAAUUAUAAGGAUUAGAGGAUCUAGCUCUAGCUCUAAUUGAUCAACUAGGACCAACUAGAAGUAGAACUAGAGAAUUAGAGGAGGCUCUAAAACUUGUCUCUCUCAAUGGGGAAAAUCCUCUAGUAUAUAUAGGUUUGAGGGGAGAGGAGGGGCGCCAUACAUGGGUGAAAGGGCUCCCCCCUUGUGCUGGCCUAGAGGGGGAGGAGGAGUCCUCCCCCUAGUCCAAUUCGGCCUCCCCAAAUGGGAAAGGGGGCGCCUCCCCAUUUGGGCCCUUGUGGCCCGAUCCUCCUUCCACUUCUUGGCCUUUUAAUACCUGUAAAAGCCUCCUAGUAAUUACUAGAGCCUUUUAUUAUUAAUUUAACAUCUCUGGAAACAUUUUUCCACCUAUAUAUUAUUUAUCGGUAAUACCCGGUAUUGCCCGAUAAACUCUGAAAUCCUUUCGGUGACUCUAAAACUCUUCCGGUACCUCUCGAAACUAUUUCUAAUACUAAGAAACUAUUUUAAGAAUAAAUCCUCGAUACUCAAGUCCUACUAACACUCUGCAAAUCGUAAUUACAUUAAGCGUGUGACCCUGUAGGUUUGGUUAAACAUAUACAUGAACAAAAACCCCUUUGUUCAAAGACCGAUAGCGGAAACAUGGGCGUAUGUAUCGAUUCCUAUGAGUACAUGAAUGAUAUUCGAGCGAACCUUUGGUUAUCAUGUGUUAUUCCUUUUGCUUCGCAACAAUGUACAAAACCCGAGAUGUAUCUGUAUCUUCUUGAGUCAUACACGUGCUCACUAUACCGAUCUUCUCGUUACCAGUUUUCUUCUUCUUUCUCAUUAAUAUGUUCCAGCAUCCCUGUGACAUAGUCACCUGUGUCUGACCAAACGAUGAUAUAUGCCAUCACACCGAGAGGGACCUAAGAAUUUAUCUCCGUCAUCGAAGGAGAAAAUUCCACUCACGAGUUAUCUAGUCCCUUGUCAAACUUUCAGAUGAACAUGUAAGUUUUUGUGAUGAUCAUCGACGUUUGAGCAAUCCCAAAGUCCGCCCUACGGUAAGAAGUGACUACGAUUAUCUCAUGGUCUAAGGAACUAAAACACAUGUUAACACUUCAUGUUAUAAUAAUUGCUUUCAGAACAUAUCAACUCAAAGUAUAACAAACAAGUUUGGGUCGAUUCAACAUGGUCGUUCUUCUAACGUCAUACUCUGUUUUUUUAGGACUAUCGUUACACUUAACGAUAUCCUAAGAUCUGGAAAACAUGAUCACCAACAACACUUGAGCUAGUCUUAGAGGCGAGAUUAGGAAUCUUAUUUUACCUUUUGUCAUUCCACACGUGCAUAUUAGUUUUUCACUGGAUCGCACAUUUCAGGAUCAUCACAGUUAUAGCGUAGAAUAUAAACUCUUAAUCAUGAAUAUGAAAAUACAAUAUUAUUGCUUCUAGUGCAUAGUUCCAACACCAGUAGGCCUCGUGGCGGCCUUGUCACAGCGGUCGGUGCAAGGACCCAUCUUGAAGAUAAAUUAUAAUCUUGGCAUGCAAGCCAAGAACCCUCAUGGCAAGGUCGGUUAGGAUUCCUAUAAAACCUAGCUCUUGCUGCCCAUUCAUAAGGCGAGACUAGGGUUAGUUCGAGGCAUUUGUUCCAUUCUACAGACCUCGAUAGUACUCAUCAUCCUCCACGUGUAACCCCCUCGCACGAGGUGCUCCCACAUAUCAAUCCAAAACAAACUAGGAGUAGAAUAUUACCUUGAUCAUGAAGGCCUGAACCUGGGUAAAACGACCCAUGCAAACUCCCUUCUAGUACUUCCGGCUACGCUCUCCAGCCUACUGAGGGCACUGGCGGUUUUCUGCACCAUCAAUUAAUUAAACAUACAAAAGUAAUUACCAUAAAAAUGGUGUAAAUGUUUCAUUGUGAAUGGAACUUAAUUCGUUGAUAUGAUGGACACCAUAAGUUUUGUAAAAUGUAGAAGUUAAUUACUUAGUUUUGAAGCAUCGUCGACAUCUGGCAAUCUUAAAAUUGCUAAUCACAUAUGUUGAUUCAAUCAUGUGCCUUACAAUAAAACAUAUACCAACAAAAACUGCAUACCUAAAAGCUAAAACAAAAAAACCAUUUGGGCCAAAAUAAGCCCAAUGGAAGUGGCACAGUCCACUUCCUUUUUCGUUUUUCUAAUUUUUGGGGAAAGGGGGGACGUGGGCUGCAACCCACUUGAUCUUAUCACCCGGGUUGUUAGGGUUGGGGUUGCCAAACACUUGUACCGAUGAGGGGUCCUAGUCUGCGAUUUCAGUAUUGGGAACUCUCUUGGCGCCCACCACUGCUCUUUUCGCUUGUUCCCACAUGUCAUAUGUCGUUCGAUCCAGUUUUUUAUCUGCUCGAUUUUCUUCUCCCUGCUCUCUUACAUUUCAUGAACUUCAAAAAAUAUGAAAAAUAAAAAAAUGAAUUAGAAAUAGUUCAGAGGGUAGAUUAUUGACCAGCUGACCGUUAACCUUUCAUCUCUGACCAGAUCCUUUGUCCGUAGUUUUUUUUGGAAAAAAUCAUGUAUAUGAGAAAAAUAUCACAAAAAUUGACAAAAGAUCAUAAGUUUGAAAGAAGUUUGUAAAAUUUAAAAAAUCCAUGAUUCUAGUUUGGAAUUUUUUCAUAGAUUUGAAAUUGUUCAUAAAGUUAAGAAAAAUUUCACGGGUUUAAAAAUAAAGUUCAUCAAUUUGGAAAAAAAUAUUGAUUCGGAAUUGGAGAAAACAUCAUGAAUUCAAAUAAUGUUCACAAACUUGUGAAAAAUAUCUUGAAUUUGAAAAAAUUUCAUAGGUUCAAGGAAAGUUCACGAAUUUGAAAAGAAAAGUUCAAGAAUUUUGAAAGAAUCCCAAUUUGGGAAAGUUUAUGAAUUUAUUUUUUCUAUUUUCUUAAAAGUUCAUGCAUCUGAAAAAAUGAAAAAUGAAAACAGAAAAACCGUAAAAAUGGUCCAAAGCUUGAAAAAGCUUCCAAAAACCGGGACGAGUGACUCCCGCAAAAGUGCAUUACGUGGGCUGGCCGAACUGCUUGGGUAGUGAGCGUCGCAUAUGAACAGAACAUUAUCUGGUACGUUAAGCGUCAUAUAGGAUUUGUGUCUCCCGAUCCCCUUCUCCCUAUUGUUCGCCAUUAAGAUUUGUUUCAUAUGAGUUACCAAAGAGGCAACGAGACAAUAAUCAUUGUAAGUUGUACACCAUAUUCUCAUUAUUUCUUCACAAGGCUUUUGAGGGUGUUUCGGCUACUUAUCAAAUAUAUUUUUUCUCACAUUUUUCCUAUGGUUUUUUGGGUGAAAUUCUGAUAAUUAUACAAACGAUUCGAGAUAGUACAUAAAAACAAGAAUAUUCGUUGUAUAGGGAGGAGCUAGUGUGAAUUGUACGAUUCUUGGUUACAUCGCAUUGCACACNNNNNNNNNNNNNNNNNNNNNNNNNNNNNNNNNNNNNNNNNNNNNNNNNNNNNNNNNNNNNNNNNNNNNNNNNNNNNNNNNNNNNNNNNNNNNNNNNNNNNNNNNNNNNNNNNNNNNNNNNNNNNNNNNNNNNNNNNNNNNNNNNNNNNNNNNNNNNNNNNNNNNNNNNNNNNNNNNNNNNNNNNNNNNNNNNNNNNNNNNNNNNNNNNNNNNNNNNNNNNNNNNNNNNNNNNNNNNNNNNNNNNNNNNNNNNNNNNNNNNNNNNNNNNNNNNNNNNNNNNNNNNNNNNNNACUAAUGGCACAACCACAAGAUGGCAUAAACAUGAUGCCCAGAGUAGAGAGGAAUGUGACGCUUGGUAAAACAGAAGCUGCAACACUGCGCAAAACUACCCAAGCAAAGAACAUGUCCCAAAUAUCAAAAUCUAUCGCUGGGCAUGCCACGAGCAAUCAAGACGAUGCCUUCAUGAAGAAAAACAAUGCCGUGACACACAAGCUUUGCAUAUUUAUGAAAAAUGUAUAUGGUUAAGUGCUCUUUUUUUGCUUAUAUUGCUUAAGCAACAGUAUGUGUAGUUCAACCCAGGUGUAUAUGUAUAUCCCGCCAAUUAUAUCGUCAAUAACGAUUAUGAAUCCAUCCAUUCAUCUAUCUCUCACACUCUUUAGUUUUCGCUUGUAACACGACCGAAGAGACUAGCGCACCACAACCAUAAACCAAUGUUGGCCUCUUGUGACCUUUCGAUUGCGCCCCGCAAUGCAGGUGGUGUUGCUGCGUUAUGCUGUCUCAAAUGUGCGGAGCCUUUCGAUUGUGUCGAUGGUGCAGUGUCAUGGUCUUGUCUGCUAGGCGAUGCCGACUUCGCCCGUGGCACACAGGCGCCGUGGCGUCGUCUCGGCCUCGCGUGACCUUUCGUAUGCACCCUCGGCACAGGUGGUGUCGUGGCGUUGUGCAGUCUUUGAUGUGUGAAGCCUUUUGAAUGCGUCGAUGGUGCGGUGUCCUGGCUUGCUCGGCUGGCCAAUGCCGUUCGAUCACAUUGGUGGUGCUCUGUGUUGUGUUGGGUUGUGUCUUCCCUCUUUGUUGGUAUGUUGUGGUGUGUGUUGUUUUUGCUUUAUCUCUCCUCCUCCUGUUCCCCUGUAAUUCUGCUGCACUUGAACCUAAAAGGCAGUGGGGCGGUCACCUACCUUUGGAUGCCUCGCAUGAAUUCAAUGAACUCGUCCGCUAGCUUCCGCGUACCACCCACCGAGCAGAGCCAGCGAGCAACCAACACCGGCCAACUACCCACUGGAGUUGAAUGCAGGACGUCCAAAGUAAUGCAGGACGUCCAAAGUGUGCCCGUAAACCAUUCUGCUGACCGUAGUCAUGGCGAGCUGGUGCAAUUCAGUGCAUGCUCUAGCUGUAGGGUAGAGUGUUCAACUGAUUGUUACAGCGGCCGUGGGCGAUUCAUUAGACGGCUCCCGGCAGGUGAGUGGUUCGUUUGCAGUGAUGGACGUCCUCGCAUUUCACUUAUUGCCCCUGCAUCUUUCUUUAAUCGCUCACCUGCUCCGUCGGCGGCGAUGGCCGCGUACGCUCCCUACGUGUCGCCGCAUGGCAUGCACAUGGCCGGCUCGGGCCACGGCGAUGCGUGGCUAGCUAUAAAUAGCCCAGCCGGGAGCUCCUAGAUCGAUCUCCACACAACUACCAGUACACUCCACUCCCAUCACACACACGGACACACCUGCGAGAGCGUGAGCCAUGGCGUCCAUGGGGAAGAAGCAGGUGGUGGCGGCGCUGAUGCUGGUGCUGGUGGUGCUGGCGGCGGCGCCGGGCGGGGCGCACGCGGCGUGCCAGGCGUCACAGCUGGCGGUGUGCGCUUCGGCGAUCCUGUCCGGGGCCAAGCCGAGCGGCGAGUGCUGCGGCAACCUGCGGGCGCAGCAGCCGUGCUUCUGCCAGUACGCCAAGGACCCCACCUACGGGCAGUACAUCCGCAGCCCCCACGCGCGCGACACCCUCCAGUCCUGCGGCCUCGCCGUCCCGCACUGCUAGGCGCCGGCAGGCCCCUGGCGCACAUGGCAAGCUAGCUGCCUCAGUGACCAUGAGAGCGUCAGACUAUAGCUAGCCUAUCUGAGUGCCUACGUGUUGCGUCCAUGAAAGCAUCUUCCUGUCAACCAUGUGGUUCGACUUUGAUGAUGCUGGAAUAAAAAUAUAAAAUGUUGGGUGAUGAUCUACGGCAGCCAUGUUGCUUCUUGGCUGCUGCUGCUGGUAAUAAAAUUUGUGUUGCAACUUGAUGAGAUCGGCUGAGUUGUGUUCAGUGACCAAACCAAACUGCCCCUAUCAUAGAAUUGGUAAAUCUAGUGGUGCGGUAUGUAACGGCGAAGAAUCAACCGUUAGUGUUAUGGUCAAGAAUGGUGCAGUGACUAGGUACAAGAGGUUUGAAUGGAAUACAUAGAAAUGCUUGUGGGCCCUCUGCAUGCACCAUAACUUUUUUCAAGUCACAGUGAAGGGGGGAAUGAUUGCAUGUAUGCUAAGUAUUCUUUCUCUCUAUCCUGUACAACAUACUUUUAUUUUAUUUUUUAAACGAAUUUCUUAUAGAUCUUCCCUAAAUCAAAAGAAUGUUCUCAUUUUUUAGUAAUAUUUCAAUUCACAGCGAGAAGAUCUUCGAAACAAAACAAAUCAUUGAUAAAAACAUGAACCAGUUUUUAUUUUAUUGUUGCUAUCCCAUUUGAACUAGUUUUAGUAAUUUACUCUUUCAAUUGUAUUUGAAAUCAUUGUCACAUAUUUAAAAAACCAUUUCAUAGAUUAAAAAUUAUUAGUUUCACACACUGAAAUAAACAUUUUAGGAAAAUAUAAGUAAGUUUCAAACAAAAAAAUAUGUUUUAUAUAUUAAAUUAUAAGUUCAAAUACUGAAAUAAGAAACUUCAGAAAAUACAAAUAUUUUUCUCAUUAUAUAGUUAUUUACAGCUAGCUAGCAGAACAACUAGAACCCUAGCUGGGCAUAUUGGUUGGCUUCGGUGUGCUCUGCCUACGGCACAAAAGUUGGCGAUCAGCACUUGGAUGCGCGCAAAAUGCUGGACUUGCAUAAAAUUUUGUAUGGGUUCGACCUUGAAUCUACAAAGGGUGUGUCGUCACAUAUAUCCUCCCCCACACCCCACCCCGCCAACAAAAAAGUCAUAUUUCGCGCAUAUAGGCAAACUAGAUGAUAUCCCGCGCGUUGCUGCGGGAAUCAGUUGCAACAUAUAUCAAUAGAAUAUAGCUACAUGAAACAUUAAUAUUUAGAUUAAUUAUAUGAGAACUAAAACUGAAUUAAUAUAAGUAAUCUUUUCCCAUGCACUGUUGCAUGUACAUGUUGCACUUUACCCAUGCAUGAUUGCACAUUAAGGUGGCAUAGUUGCAUGUUGAGAGAAAUAUAUUAGUGGGAUCACCUACUUAGUUAUAGUAGUAUAUAACAUUAGUAUCCAUAUAAUAUAGAUUUUGAAACCAAAUGGUAAUAUCACUCAACUGUUAGAAAUGUUGAUUGAAAAAUGAUAAAUCGAUAGCAUGUAAUGGACAAAUGCAGAAAUUAAUAUAUAUUCUAUUUAGCACGUGAACAGCUUGAUUGAUUGACAUUUGCAGAUGUGUAGAAAAAGGUAAUAUUGAUAAGUUGGUCAAAUCUGGCAGUCUACCAGUGUAGCACAAACUAAUUCGUGCACAUUGCCCUGUUUGGUCCACAUCGAUAAUUAACCAAUCUAGGCGACAUAAUUAUUUUUUAAUUGGUCUUGCAAUAAUACUACCCAAUCAGAUACACAAAUUAAAUAAAAUUGCAUGCAUAUACUUUUGUUUCUAGUAUAACCAUCUCACUCAAGUAAAAAAAAAAUACCAAACUUGUCUCAUUAGGCAGGCCGCAUGCCAUCGAAUGGGUGUAGUGCAACAACAUAUGGAUUAAUCAUGGAGUGGCAAGCUUAAAAAAAGGUACAAAAAGACCAAUUAGGCAGCAGCAAAAAUUCGUCGCCUAGAGGUAGCAACGCAUUAGGAGUCUGAUCCAUGCAAACUGUAGUGAUUCAAUACAGAAAAGGAAACAGUCAGGCCGAGAUAAAUUGAAUGAGUAACUGAACAAAAAAAGGAUGUGUUUUUACCUAGUACUUGUACCACGUAUUAGAAGGGGAGCAAACGCCAUGGCCAUCAACAAAUGUUACGGUUUAAAAAGCACGCAUGUGUUUUGCAGGUCCACAUUAUCCCAAUAAUUUAUAGAGAAAACAGAUAUGAGGGAAACCUUUUGAUCUGACGUAGAGCGACCAUGACAGCUAUAGCACCAGAGUAGUGGCCACUGUAUGUCUCCAUUGCCAACGACCAGGAUCUGAAGGGGAUGCAAGCACACAGUGAAUCCAGAAGCGAGUAACGAUUCAAUGCCAAGACGAAUUACCUGAGGGGAAGUUAGGGGGUAAACAUGUUAGAGAAUUCACAUCUGAUCUUUUGAAGCCGGAGUAGAAGUUUGCCAGCAUCACCUGCGGCGCACAGAACAUGGGAAGGGAAGUGCCUCGGUGUUGAUCACAUAUGAGGAAGAUCCAUAGAGGGGUUCGCUAGGCUUGUGGACGGUGGCGAACCGGCGGCUGACCGCUCCACUACCUUGUUGCUUUCAUGGCUGCAUGUGAUGUACUUAUGGGAGGACGAAACGGCUGGGGGAUUGAUGGGAUAGUGAAACCACAGGCUGCUAAAAUUCUUUGGGACCAUAAAUGUCACGGUUAACUAUUGGAUUUCGGAGCAAAUCUAGUGCGCUCCAGUAAUCAGAAGCUGAAAGGAAGUUGUAUUUUCACCACUACUAGAAAAAAGGCUGUUAGUGGCGCAUCAGUUUUUUCUAUUAAUGGCGCACUAUAGGUGCGUCAUUAUUAACAAAUAGUAAUGGCGCACCAGAAGUGCGCCGUUACUAUCACAGAUACUAAUGGCACACCUAUAAUGCAUCAUUACAGUGCCUAGAAGUGCGCCAUUACUAUCUGACUUAGUAAUGGCGCACCACAUAGAAGUGCACCAUUACUAACAAAUUUUUUUCAAAUUUUUUUUAGGAAAAAAAUUUUCAACUUUUUUUCAGAAUUUUUUUUUUUCGUUUUUUUCUUAAUCUCGGGUCACUAUGGCUUAAUCUCAGGUCAAUAUGCUUAAUUUCAAGUCAAAUCGCACUCCGUGGUCAAACUUCCCGGAAAGUCACCCAUCCUCACAUUACUCCAGCCCGAGCACACUUAACUUUAGAGUUCUAUCCAACCCCAGCAUCAGCUCACUUAACAGGCACUUGUUGAUAUAUCUAUCAUAUCAAUCCUAUUAAACCUUUUUUGACAUUUCCAUCAUUUUCUUUUAUUUUUUCUAAAACUGAAAAGGCGGUCCAGGGGGUGUGUGUGUGUGCAUUUGGUGAAAUUUUCGGCCACCUAGAAAGUUAGUAAUGGCGCACCUUCGCAAAGUGCGCCAUUACUAUGUGUAUGACUUGGGCAAACCUUGGUCAAAGUUGGUAAUGGCGCACUUUGUGUAGGUGCGCCAUUACUAAGUUUGACAUAGUAAUGGCGCACCUAUGCAAAGUGCGCCAUUACUAAGUUUGACCAAGGUUUGACCCAGUCAUACACNNNNNNNNNNNNNNNNNNNNNNNNNNNNNNNNNNNNNNNNNNNNNNNNNNNNNNNNNNNNNNNNNNNNNNNNNNNNNNNNNNNNNNNNNNNNNNNNNNNNNNNNNNNNNNNNNNNNNNNNNNNNNNNNNNNNNNNNNNNNNNNNNNNNNNNNNNNNNNNNNNNNNNNNNNNNNNNNNNNNNNNNNNNNNNNNNNNNNNNNNNNNNNNNNNNNNNNNNNNNNNNNNNNNNNNNNNNNNNNNNNNNNNNNNNNNNNNNNNNNNNNNNNNNNNNNNNNNNNNNNNNNNNNNNNNNNNNNNNNNNNNNNNNNNNNNNNNNNNNNNNNNNNNNNNNNNNNNNNNNNNNNNNNNNNNNNNNNNNNNNNNNNNNNNNNNNNNNNNNNNNNNNNNNNNNNNNNNNNNNNNNNNNNNNNNNNNNNNNNNNNNNNNNNNNNNNNNNNNNNNNNNNNNNNNNNNNNNNNNNNNNNNNUGUGAAGGUGCGCCAUUACUAUGUCAACUUAGUAAUGGCGCACCUAUACAAAGUGCGCCAUUACUAUGUGUAUGACUGGGUCAAACCUUGGUCAAACUUAGUAAUGGCGCACUUUUCACCUGGUGCGCCAUUAGUAAUAUGGCCAUUAAUGGCGUACCUAUAUCUGGUGCGCUACUGCUAUAUAGCAGUGGCGCACCACAUACAUGGUGCGCCAUUAAUGUUCAUAUUAGCUAUAGCCGUUUUUCUAGUAGUGCACCGUGGGAACACUUCAUGACAUGGCUUGAUGUGGUGUUAUGCAUGUGCAAAAUUAGUGGUCGAACUGAACUGAUGAUGUGGAGGGCCUGCAUGUCAAGAGAAAUGAGGUACUGGGGAGCUCCUAUUUAGAUAUAGUAGAUUGGAACAGAGCAUUAUGGUUGGGUAUAACUUGCGAAUGAAAACUGCGUUUCAUUAAAAGUGACAUGGCGGGAGAGAACUACACGACCUGUGGGUAGAUGUAGGCAGCGAUAGUCUUUGUGGGAGUCAGAAUAAGCGAGAAAGACACACAACAAGGUUCUGGGGGAGAGUUUGUUAUCAGAACUUGCGGCUAGAUUUGGGAAACACGGACAGCCAAAAAUACGUAGAUCGGCGUAGGUUAGCUGAGCGAGGAAGAGGGACUGCAAGGGGAGAAACGCGGGCAAGUUUUUGUGGGCCAAAUAUUUAGUAAAUAGGUGGCAUAGCGAAGGGCUUCAACUUAAUAUUGAGGAGGCAUGGAGGCUUGAAGCAGAAGAAUGCGGAGAAUAUUGUUGAUAGAGCGAAGAGAACGUUCAGCUUUUUCGUUUUGGGGCGAGGUAUAGGGGUAAGAGAAUCGUAGAAGAAUACCAUGGUGAAGGAAGAAAUCACGGUUGCGUGAGUUAUCGAACUCACUGCCAGUGUCGCAUUGUAGGGAACGAAUAGGGAGAGAGAAGUGAGCUGACACGCGACAUUGAAAAUUAGCAAACAAACUAUGAACAUCCAAUUUUGCACGAAGAGGAAAGGUUUAUAUGAAGUCAGAGUAAUCAUCUAAAACAACAAGAUAAUAUUUGAAACCGGAAACACUAAGGGUAGGUGACCUCCUGGGUGGUAAGGGAGUUCAUUGCAGCAUGAAAGCAGCCUCAUCCCAAGUCGGCGCGGUUAAAGUCGAUGCAUAUGUAGUGGACUGGACGGCUGAGGAGAUGGUGUCGCUGCCUGUGCCGCUUGCUCCCAGGAUGGCGGUGGAGGUACAUGGACGAUGCCAUCGCAGCCGCAGCAGCCUAGUAGAGGGGUGCAUAGGCAGUGUAGGCAUGUGGCGGAGGAGGGGAGCCAAGGAGACCAAGAGCACCGAUGGAUGGGCGAAGCCCGGGCACCCAGGUGCCACUGCACGCCGGAGGAGCGCCGUAGGGUGAAGGCGUUGUCCAGGGCAUGGGGCCUGCAUAAGCCCCGUCCAUGGAUCAUGCUGAGGGCGCCAUGAGGAGAGCAUCGGUGAGGAGGGCACCGGAGCUCUCGCUGCGGGCGUGGACAUUGGUGUCGAAGCCGACGAGGAGGAUGGCGAUUCGUGCUUGGGCAGUCGGUAGAUUGGGUUUUUGCCCUUGUAGUUGGGGCUCGGUUGCCAGCCGGGCGGCGAGUCAGGGCCGGAUGUCGCCGGCGGUGGAGCCGGAGGAGAUGGAGCAGGGCGGGCCGCGGUGUCGAAGAGGUGCGGGGUACUGGCCUUGCGCGCCUGAUUCUGCUCCUCCAUUCGGAGAAUGGAGCGGGCCUCGGCAAGUGUCGGCAAAUGACAGAGGAGCGGGAUGAAGGUCGCCUGCCGGGCGUACCGGUUGUCGAGGCCGCCCAUGAGUGCUGAAGAAAGCAACCACCUCACCGAGUUCGCGGAGCUCGUCCCCGAUAGCCUUGAUGCAUUGGCAGAAGACACCAACAGGGCAAUCACCCUGUGUAAUGGUGCGGAGCUUGGUGUUGAGAGAGGAGACACGGGCAUCACAGUUGUCCUGAAACACCAGCCGUAGUUCGAUCCAAAUGUCGUGAGUAGUCGCGCCGUCGGUGACCACGAGGUUAAAGAGCUCGGUGGAUAUGCGUGUGUACAACCACUGGAUAAGAGCAAGAUCAUCGAGCACCUAGGGUUGUGCGGGGCUGGUUGUGAGUCGCCAGAUAUGUGGUGAAGGAGAGAACAACGGCCCAGGUGAAUCUCAAAUAGAUGUUGCGAGUGGUAAUAUUCAUGGCUAUGGAGAUCCAGAACGAUCGGGAUGAAGGGGUGAUGCCAAUAGUGUCGCUGAAAGAGAGGGAGGAGGGAAUGGUGAGAGUGGCCGGUGGCGGAGGGGGCGGUGCACUGUAGUUGGUGGGAAGAGUUGGCUGGCCGCCGGUGGUGGUGGGAAUAGUUGGCUGGCUGCCGGUGGUGGUGGGAAGGGUUGGUUGUCCACCUGUGUUGGUCAUGGCGACCGUGGGAGGGAAGGAGAGAACCAGGUGUCUGAUACCGUGAAGAUUGAAAGAUUCAAGGCUUAGUUUGGCAGCAUAGUUUUUGAAAAGCCAAAGUAUUCUAAAACCACAGUAUUUUGAUGUGUGGGAUGUGUGGGUAACAAAUACUUUGGUUUCUUAAAAACGUAGUUUCUCUCAGUUUUGUCCAGUUCACCGAAGUGUCUGGGUGGUAUUGUUUUGCUGCAGUUUUUACUACAUUGCCAAAUCAGCAUGUGCUAACUCUGCUACACCUAAAGAGCAACACGACCGGAUUAGUCAGCAAGUGCUAACAGCUGCCAGCUGCAUGUAGCCUUGCCAUGCACGAGGUCUUCCAGACCUCCUGUUUGCGAGUGUGCGCUUCAAUGGCCAACAAUCUACUCCAUGAGCUAGCUUGGCUCGAGACGUGCGGCACUGCCAGAACCCAGAAAGUAAUCGGCAACCAGUGAAUUGUUUAAAUAAGAAGUAGGAGUAACAGACAGAGGAGUCGAAGGCAGCGAUUAGAUUUUCUGAUGUGUACGUCAACAGGCUGAGUGCUCUCCCCGACAACUUCUCUAGGUUCGGUUUAGAAAAAAGUGGCCGCGACCUCUUUUUUAAACAGUAUGAGAGAUACCAGAGUAUCUUAAACCACAUUAUUUUUUUAAGCCAAAAACCUCAAAGCAUUUAAAUACCAAAGUUUUUUCAGAAACCACGGUAUUCCUAAAAAAACUCCGUAAAUGGUUCACUCCCAAACGCACCCUUGUGUUCUGUAUUGCAUUCCAAAAUACAGGUGAGCAGAUACAUAUAGGGUGCUGGGUGCAACCGCAGUAGCAGAGACGUAUAGCCGAUCGGUGUGCUGAUCGUGGGAGUAUAGGAGUGGACGAAGUCCACGCACUAACAGAGAGGAGGGAGGCACGUUGGCUCAGCGGCGCUCUGGGGAGAGUGCGGCGGCGGUAGUGGUGGGUAGGAUCGGGGAAGAAGGUCGCCGGGUCACGGUCGUGAUUUCGGCUGGGCUUAUUUUCCGCGUACCGAAUUGGGAAGUUGUGACUCGCAGGAUCCAAGAUAGACGGCAUCCACUGCGUUUGGCAGUUUUGCAAAUAAAAAAUAAAAUUGGCGUGCCAAAUACAUAUCUCAAUAGAUAAAUAGAUAGAUAGACACAUACAUGUCGCCUAAAAAAACAUACAUACAUACAUACAUACAUACAUACAUACAUACAAGGUAUUAACUAGUUAUUCAUAUAUUAAUCAACUUUCGUAAAUCAGUACGUGUGGGAAUUUUUCUUAUAGAUCCGUCUUUGCAAAACUUGAGAUGUGAAUCAGAACCACUUAGAGAUCGAUCUUGUUUCCAAGAAACAAAAGAUGGUAAAAGUUCAAAUGCAAUUUGCCAAACCAAAUACUACGUAGGAACAGUUGCUACAUUAUUAAUAGUUACUCUUAUUGCACACAACAGACAUUAGUAUUUCUUGCACAAGCAAAUCUGCUGUAAGCAAAUUCAAAAAAUUAAGGAGCAUGUACAGGAGGAGGGGAUGUCAUCGCCACUAGUAUGUCUUGUGAAGACGAUGGGUUUUUGCAAUCUGACUUGCAGUUAUCCAUAGAUUUUGAAGCAAGGAGAAAGCAAUCCGGAAAGAAAAGCACCAAUUCAUGUGUAGGAAGCAUCGAUUUAUAUGGAAGCAAGCUACAUACUACUAUACUAAAGACCUAUGUUAAAAGGACUAGCAAUCAACCUGCUGAAAUCCAGCGGCGGAAUCAGAGGUAACCAUCAUUAACUAGUUUCAGUUUUGGGAACACUCAACGGGGGAAGGUGCCUUGCUUAUCCAACGGGUGCAUGGGAUCCAAUCCGACGCCUCUCUACUGGUCUGAUAGAAUGCUAGGCAUCAGCAGUCUAAUGCCUAGCGGUUCCCUUUCCUAAUACACCCCAUAUCAACAUCUUCCGGGAGAGGAUUGACUAUCAGCAAGCUUUUUCAUAACUCGUUCUUUCAACUUAUGCCAUGGGUUUCGAGCUCUUCGGAGUCCAUAAGAUGUUACUCAAAGUACCCACUAGGCAAUGAAGCCUGGCGUUAUCAGCCGCUACCACUGAUGUUUAUGAGCAUCCGUUACCACAGUAAUGGAUACAAAUUAUUAUACAUUAAGGGACAUGUAACAUAGCUAGCUUAGGGGGACAUGGGGUAGGGUACAUCAAACUCUAUAAAAGCCUACCCCGCUUCCGCCCGGCUACAGGCUCGGAACUCAUGUAUUCUCAAACUCAUACACACUAACACCCUCUGCGAGAUAGGACUAGAGUUGUUGCGAGAUAGGACUAGAGUUAUUACCUCCAUCGUCGAGGGGCCUGAACUCAUGUAUUCCCCAUGAUGUAGUUGCGGCACGGCGACAUGUCGAUCUGCGUCUGCAUGCACCCGCUCGUCGUCGACUUCGCUGAGGCCAGGAUCGCCACAACGAUGAGCACCGCUGCGGCGAGCAUGGACGCCGCCCUCGCUGCCAUUCUUGCUCCCCUUCCUUGCUUGAACACCACCGGCCGUCUCUCUCCCUCUCUCUAGGUACCGUAGUGGUUGCCUUGCCUUGGUUUGUGCCUAGCUCUUCUCUUGCUUUAUAUAUAGGCGGAGAAGGUGGCAGCAGGAACAAGACACGACCGAGAUCGAGGGUGGUUUGGCACCACGACAUGAAUGUCUGGUGUUCCUCGCGGAUAUUGAUUGUUUUCUCUUCUAGAGAAUUAAUUAUACCAAACACCCCAAAUCAACCUCUUCCGAGAGAGGAUUGACUAUCACCAAGCUGCCCCAUAACUAGUUCUUUCAACUUAUGCCACGGGUUUCUAGCUCUUCGGAGUCCAUAAGGUGUUACUCGAACUACUGAAGCCUGGCGUUAUCAGCCACUACCACGGAUGUUUAUGAGCGUCCGUUACCACAAUAAUGGAUACAAAUUAUUAUACAUUAAGGCACAUGUAACAUAGCUAGCUUAGGGGGGCAUGGGGUAGGGUACAUCAAUCAAACUCUAUAAAAGCCUACCCUGUAUUCUCAAACUCAUACGCAAUAACACCCUCUGCGAGAUAGGACUAGAGUUGUUGCGAGAACCUCCACCGUUGAGGGGUCUGGAUCUGUAUACAUCUUUCCAUCCCACAUUCUAUCUUGAUAGAUCAAGCUCUUUUCCUCUAUCCCUCUUACUGUCAGAUUUAGCACCACGACAUUUUUUUCUUCUAUCAAAAAGGUGGUUAGACCCCCGGCCUCUGCAUCAAUCGAUGCAUACAGUCAUCUUUAUUAGUUAUUCAACAAAGGUCUGACAAGAACAUACAUCAAGCAACCCGAAACCACCACCCACACCUACAGACUCGAUAAUAUGGAGUGCUCUCACCCUUCAUAUCUAAAACCAGUGUCAUCGCCGAUCCAUCCACAUAACGUAUCGGAACCAACAGCCGGUGCAGAAGACCUAAAGCGCACAUCACAUGCACACGUUUUAGAAGCCGUCAUCAUCAUCGUGCCACUGACCCAUCUUCAGGAUAGAGAUCCGCAUCAUCCUUACCAGUCCAGACAACCGUCGACGUCACCACGCCGCGGCGCCACCGCCCUGCGUGUCCAUCUAGACGCGAAGACUCUGAAAGAUCUGUCGUGCGUAGCACCUGCCGACCAGGCAUGACACAACGUAGCACCUGUCGGCCAGGCAUGACUUGGCAUCUCCACCGAAGCUCCGUGCAAGACUAAGCCGCUCCACCUCCUGCCUCUGUCUUCCAGCGCUGCUCCACAAACGGUGCUCCCAAAAGAGGAACGACACCGUAGUACCGUCAUCGUCCGAUCUGGAUUACCAGAUCUUAGAGUUUCCCCCGAAGCAGCACGAGUGAGUCGACAUAUAUUACACGACGAUGCCUUCAUGAAGGUAACGACGCAAGACGCCGCCAUCGCCCCGCCAUCGGCUUGGUUUUCACCGGAAACUCUGUUUUCCCAACUCACAACCGGGACUAGAUGACGGAUCUGGAGAUCCGACCACCCAGCCUCAGGCUGACCAUCUCUGACGGAGGAGGUGGCCACCACCGCCACACCCAGGGCCGCAGCCCCCGCCGACGUCCUCGAGUUGCGGGUCGAUCCCAGGGACAGCAAGCCAUUGACGGAACGGUAGACGAGGUUGCGGCCCGCCGAAGCCCAUCUAGGCCCAGAUCAGGCACCGUCGCUGGACCUGCCGUCGUACGCCGUGGCCGUCCCGCACACACUGCCGUAGAUCCGGCCAUCACGGGCCGCCGCCGUCCGGACCGAAGCGCGGGCUGAGGAGAAACGCCGCCGCCGCUGCAGCACACAGGCUUUUCCUGCGACGCCCCCGGCGGCGGCGGCGGCGGCGGGAGGAGGCGCUGGAGUGAACGGGGGGAGGCGGAGGAGGCGCCGCACGGGAGCAGGAUAGGGUUAGGUGCGGGAGCGGGAUAAUGUUCCUCUUUCUCAAACGAUUCUUCUAAGGUAGCACCACGACAUGCAGCUUGGUCUUCUCCACACCCAACCACAAGCAUGAAUCUGCUCAGCUAUCCUAGCGAGCAUGGCUCAGCUAGAUCUGCCUGAGGACUAGCUCGCCUAGCUGCAGAGUGCGUGAUGCGUCCAUGCACGCACGCAUGCAUGUUCAUGUCACCUGUGUGGCUCAAGGAUGACGAUGGAAUAGAAUGUUGGGUGAUGAUGCUGAAAUAAAAAGACUUUUCCUGCCUUCUCCCGUGUUUCCAAUCUCCGUCACUUGCUAUAACUUUUUCAACCAAAAUAGCGUAGGGAAACCAUCGGAAAAAAAAAACUUACGAAAUAACUACGAAUUUUUUAGACACAAAUAAGCCGCUGAUCAGGCUGCACAUUACAGCAGGACACAUGACAUGCUCUACAAGCUAGUAAUUUCCUGGUACUGUUGCUUUCGACGAGAUUGAGUGGACUAUCACCCCAGAGGGACACAUAUAUUUGUUACUCGUGAGCGUUGAAUUCAUUCAUCAACCUUUAGUUUGCCGAUUUACCUCCCAAUUCAAGCCGGCACUGUGUUUGGGAAAUGCUACUCCCUGGCCUCUGCUUAUCAUGCCCAAUUCAUGGGGCCAUGACCACUUCAUGGGGCCUGCCAUUUGAAAAUUUCGGGCUCCUAAAAAAUGUAUUCAAAACUGGGUAUGGUUAACAGGAUCGUUUUGCCAAGUGUGGAUGGUCAAAUUGUGGGCUUCACCCAUUGUGGAACAAAAUUAUUGCAUGGCUUUGAUGACGCCAAGCCUCGUGGAUAGAGGUGGUGCACGACGGGCACAAACCAUGAAAGGCGGUGGCAUCACUCAUCAAACUUGUCUCUUGGAGGUAUGGAAUGAGCGCGAUGCAAGGGUCUUCAACAAUGCUUCUCGGUUCCUCAAUCAUCAUCUCCAAUAUACGAAAUGAGACGAGCAAUUGGGUUUAUGCCUGCUCGAAACACUAGUGUAAUUUAAUGCUAGAAAAGUAGCUUUUUAUUCCUUCAGGCUUUCAAACUUUAAUCUGAACUCUCUUUAGUUAGGACACUCGAGUAGGAUGAUGCGCGACCCAUCAUGCAUCGUUAACAUCAUGGUGCAUGAUUUUUUUUUUCAAAAUUUCCAAAAAUUUCAAAAUUGUGAACAAUUUUUAAAUUCACAUCUUUUUUCAAUUUCACAAACCAUUUUCAAAUCCAUGAUUAUUUUUUCUUCCCAUUUUCAAAUCCUUGGCAGCACCAAGCGGGCUGCCAACAUGGACGAACUACUCGGCUGACCUCUACCGAGUGGAUUUGAAUGCACUAGGUACGUCCAUACGUCCAUAAGUGUAGCCAUGCAUGCAUCAACCUUUUUGCUGACCCUAGUCAUGCCGAACUACGUACUGCAGUUCAGUAACUAGCCGGGUCGCGGCAUGUGGGGCGUUAAUUAGCUACUAAGGCUGCCAGCCAUCGAGCUCGGAGUCUCGGACCGUGCGUGUCCGCCUAUAAAUACACCGGUGUUGGCGACCACAUGCAACCACGUGACCACGUGCUGUUGUCGACGCCUCUCGCAGCGCCCCUUCCUCAGCUUUGCUGAGAGGUUCUUCCCUUAGGUGCACACAUGCACUACAUUUUCUGCCCAGCCCUCACGGCCUCCUUCUUUUUGUUAACUCAACUCAAUGCAGAUGGUCGCGGUCCCGCUGCCUAGCAAGCGGAUGCCAUUGCUGCAAGAAUGCACGAAAAUUGAAGAACGAGUCAGAAGCCUGUCAGGGAAAAAUCCACUCAAUCACCAUUUUAUUGCGCAUAGUCCAAAGGGUCCACGUCAGCGCCGCAAAGAUAAGCCAGAACAAGCGGCGAUUGCGUCCCCUCUGGGUGGCCCUAGAUUGCAGUAACUCUGCCAAAUCUAGGGCCUCCCAGUCUGACCCAAGGGCCUCGUGCACAAAGGACCAAAGUGCUUGGGCCGCGAGACAAGAGAACAUAAUAUGGGUUCCUGUCUCUGGGACGUGACAUAGGGGAUAAAUACCAUCAUCCGGGCUGUGCCGCUUAAGAACCUCUGUUCCAGAGGGAAAGCGGUCACGCAGAGGCUCUUCCCUUGGUGCGCACAUGCGCUACAUUUUUUGCCCAACCCUCAUGGCCUCUUUUUUAUUAACUCAAUGCAGUACAUAUAUAUGCACCAGGGGUCGGACACACCCACAAACCCGGCCACCACGUUGGCCACUAACCCAACUAAUUAGCUCCAUGCACUAACUACCCAUGGCCAUGUCCAGUGCGUGCGCAUCAUUGACUCAACUCUACACGACCCAUGAAUGCACGCGAACGGACUAACUAGUACACCGAUUCUCUUGGCUCCAGUCCAGCUAACCCAUUCAACCAGUCUAGCUCCAGCGCGCCUGGCCGCUUCACGCGACCGUGCCGCAUCCCAUAGCACCGCAGGCAACUCCUAACCAAUUCUACCUGCAUAACAAAAACAAACAUGCUCAUACACAUACAGGGCCGGCCCUAGAAUUAAGAAGGCCCUAGUGCAAAUGAGGUAUUAGAGGGUAACAUAAAUAAUUUCACCGGUAUAUACUACAUAUCAUGAAAAUUAUUAUAAAAAUAUAAAAAUCAAAAAUACAGUUUAUUAGCAAAUAAAGUCUUACUACACCAUAUAUAUAUGUGAUUACAUUAAAUAAUAAUUAUAAGAUACAUGUACUUAGACAUAAACAACUUACCGAAUAAAUACGAUGUGGAGAAGUGUAGGGGGGCAAAUGCCCCCGUCCACGGACAACAGUUUUGAAUAUAUGUUUCGCAAACCACAUUUUUUCUAGUUUUAUUUAGGUAUGUAUAUAUAGUGGGCCCUUAUUUGAGAUGGGCCCUAGGCCGCCGCACCUUUUGCCAUGGCCUAGGGCCGGCCCUGUACACAUAUCAAGAUUAGUGCAAACCAACUUGUGGUUGGAUAGAUAGAGGGACAGUGGUAACCCCAGCUCACCAGGGUUUAAAUCCAGCUGGGGUUUAAAUCCUGAUGCUCGCAUAAUUCCUAGAUUUAUUUCAUGAUUUCCGGCGAUGCGCUUUUAAUGGGAGAAGACGUUCGUAAAUCUCAAGAUGAUAUGUCGGCUUAGUCUCUCGAAGGUGCUCAUAGAGAUAUGAUGUGUGUGUGUGCAUUAAUAGGGAUGAGUGUAUGCGCGUAUGUAUGAGCGCUUGCGUCUGUACUGUGUUAAAAAAAAUUAGUGCUAACACCUAUUUCUAUUUUAUUUCUGGACGCACCACAGCUCAACUCAUGGAUACAACUCACGCCACAAACACACGUCCAUCAAGUACUCCUUGAAAGCUCUCCAUGACCUAGCUACACAACUAACAGACAUGCAUGCACUAACAAUCCAUCUCUGAACUAACUUCCGUCCGGUUGAUCAGGCUUCAACCCCACACGCACCUUCUGUUCGACGCGGCCGUAUGCUUCUGCUGUGCCUCUGAUGAGCCAGGUCUCCUGCUCAGACGAGCGUUCUAAUUAUCCGUAUGAAACGGUCACAAAUGCUCAAUCCGACGAAGACAAAAUCCACAAACUCGGCAUGGAAUACACCUCGUCCGAAUACAUCAUGUUUGCUUCAAAGUAUACAAAUGUAACAUCCUUUGAGUUAAACGUGUUUGGGAAUUUUUACUGUUAACAUGGCAUGCCUCGUUCACUACUGCCGGAUUACUGUUUCCGGUGAAAAGAUUGAUAAAUCUCCCACAUACCUAUAAGGAACACGGUACUAGCUCUGCCAACUCUAAGGAUGUUACUGUCCUCACGCGUGAUCACUGGAAAGUGAAUAUUAACUAGUUUUAGCCACUUGCACUCUUAUUCUUUGGAUAAUUACCAGUCAGUAAGAGCCCUACUCUCUUCCCAGGAUCUCCAAGACUAUUUCCACUUAACCUCUCAGAGGAAGCUUUUUUUCAAUGCAACCUUAUGCGCAUGUCUUGUGAAAUGAUUUCUCCCUUUCUGAUCAGCCAGAAAUAUGUCGUUUCCAUGGCCUGCAAUUACAUUUCAAUGUAUAUCAAGCCUAUAGUUUGUUAAUUGGAAAUCACCCAACUAUCGCGGCAGUGCAUUUGGCAAAACAUGGUGUCAGAGUAAACAUAAAGAUUUUUGUGGUUGUUUAUCAACAAUGGAGUCAACAUCAGAGAAUUAUACCACAGAAAAAAAAUUAUUCAUCCCUCACUAAAGCUAUGUCAUGCGUCGGGAAUGGAGUAAAGGUUGUUGUCAAAGCCAUAUGGGUCUUACCUCUGCUUCUAUGUGGGGGUUUAUAUUAGAACUUAGUACUCCCUCCGUAAAGAAAUAUAAGAGUGUUUAGAUCACUAUUUUAAUGAUCUAAACACUCUUAUAUUUCUUUACAAAGGGAGUAUAUAUUUGUUAUUAUGUUUCGGCCUUAUGCAAGAACAUAAUGAUACAUCCCGCUCAAAUAGUUGUAGUAAACGAUGGUCAUCGGAUCACGAUAUCAAGAGCGUAUUGGUGCUGAGACAGGCACAAUUCAGCUGAGCCGCGGUGAACGUUGACACCCAGCGAGGAACUUUGUAAAUGGGGAACGAAAGCACACCUCUGUGCCAACAAAGAAUUUGUACUUUGUACAAGAUGCCAGCUGGUGGCCAGACAUGAUCGCGCCGGGCUGCGGGUCGGAACAAAAUACGGAACGAAUUAGCUACUUAUCAGUCGACUGAUUUUUCAGUUUGGGGUAAGUCAAUUUUUGAACGAAGGAAAGACCUCGCCGGAGAUAAGGAAAGACCUCGCCGGAGAUAAGGAAGGGACUCGCAUGAUUCUGGAAUAAAAUGUUGGGUCAUGAACUCAUGAUCGGUGCUGGAAUAAAAUGAGUUUUCCUACCUUCUCCUCCGUUUCCUCCCUCUGUCACUUGCUGCAAUCUUUUCAACGAAAACCACGUACAAGAAUUGGCAACCGUCCGAAAUACGCCCGAAGUUACGAUGAGUCACUCACAAAUAAGCCGCAGGACGCUGCACAUUGCAGCAGAAAACAUGAGAUGCUCUACAAGCUAGUAAUUGCUUUGCUGUACUGUUGGUUCCAUCGGGAUUGAGCACAAGAAGGCACACCUUUGAUUACUUGUACGAUGUGUGGCUUUAAACACUAUGUCACCUGCUCAUUAACUCGUGUGCAUUGAAUUCAUUUAUCAACCUUUAGUUUGGUGGUAUACAUUCCAAGUUCAGCUCCAUAUAAUCAAGCCCGCACUUUUUUUUGGAAGGGCAAAAGAUUUGACACAUUUAUUAAUUAAGAAUGAGCUUAACAAAGUCACUAACCCGAAGGCGAAAGAAAUGCCUACUCUCCAGACAUAAUAUCACUCAAGUGCCGAGCCCCGGCUAACACCCACUUGCACGUUUCAUCUCGGAUCUUGUCGAUGACUCUCAAGAUGUUGUUGAAGACUCUCGGGUUGCCUCAUUCCAAAUUACCCAUGGACGUUACUCCAUGGCCUCUGCUUAUCAUGCACAACUAAUGGGGGCACGGUCACUUCGUUUUAGUCUACCAUUUAUAAAAUUUGGGCUCUUGAAAGUUUUUGGGCAUGGCACUAUUCACAUCUCGACUUGUCUUUUUUGUUUCUCUUUGUAUAUUUCGGAUUUUGAUCUGAAUUUUUAGGGGUUGUAGACACAUGUGUUCUGAAACUUCACAAAAAUAUUACACAUCUAAAAUUGAAAUUUUCAAACUGGUAUCAUGGGAGCACUUACAAUACUGGAAAAACUGUCUACGCUGAGUUAUUUCAGCUAAGCCGAGAGCCAAAGUGCUGGCUCUCGGCAAAUUGGAUGAAUACCUUACUUCUAGUAUCUUUCCGGCAUUGGUGGAACAUAAUUCAGAUCCGUAUCACACUGAAACUAGUUGAAGUCAUCCUUGUCAUGAAGGAGAAUGUAGUUAUGCAGUGUCAUAAUUGCCGCAACAAUCAAUUUCUGUGUUUCAAUCAAUCUUGAGCAGUAUUUUCCAUUUCAUUUUCAGAACACCAAAGGCCCUCUCUAUGCAAUUGCAUCCGCUUGGAGGAGUGGAUCUUUUUUAACUUCUCCAUAGGAUUAGUAGGGGGUGCACCUCUCCGCAUGGUGCUUUUCCUGAAAGUCACAUCCCCGUUCGGUAUCCCGCAACUUGAGUUUCGAAAAUAUGUUGUGAUCACCUUUUAGCUUGUCCUAUUUGAUUUUAAAUCAGACAUGUUUGUAGUCGAGCCCGAUUCACAUCUUGAAUUUCCUUCACACCUCCUCAAAUACAUUUGGCAUCAAAUAAUUGUUUGGCCUAUUUGCAUCCUUCACUUGCUCCACAAACAACUCAGUGAGAAUCCUAGUAUUUUCGUCAUAGGUCCAUUCGGUGGCCAUGCUCAACAAUUGUCUGAGAAAAUGCUCACAUGUCCUAGGAAAAUACACAUGGAUUGGAGCGAAGGUGCUUCUGUGUAUAGCCAAACUCUUGUAAUAUAAAUUGAUGAUGCCCGGCCUGUUGUUGGGGGAAGCUUGUUAAAUAAAUGCAUUCAUAGUUGCUAAGACAGUCUGAUGAAAAGCAAAUGUAAGCUUAUAAAACUAUAGAAACUGAGAACUGUGUAAAAAGAUAAAAAAUAAAUUCAGUUAAAAGAAUGCUAUUUCUAACAAAAACAUGAAGGAUGAACUACAUAGGUAUGCUGCAAUCGCCUAACACAUAUAUUGUCAAUAAAAAGUCUAGUGUAGAAAAUUAACUUAUGACCAACAUGUAUUAAUUGAUGAUGUGGCAAUGUUGUGUGCAUAGAUUAGUGCAAAAAAAUAACUUAUGACUUACAUGCAUGCCUUGCUUAUGUGGCAUGGUGGCAUGACUAAGAAAAAUAGGUAAUGGUUUGUAGCUAUUUAGGAAUAGAGGGUGCGUUCAAUUUUUUUAUUGUGUCCAUAUGCGCAUCUGCCCAUUAUUUGCACACAUAUAAACGCAUCCCAGUAUACUUGGCACACUUCAAAUUAAGGAGCUAGGGUACAUUUGCACACGUUGCACAAAAAUCACUACACAUCAUACAUUCAAAGAUAGCACCACAAGAAAGUAAAAUACCCAUCACCAUACCUGCCACAGGCAGAGCUUGGGGAAGUAGUACAAGGGGAGCUCACCACGGGUUUGAGCGAGGACUACCGUCUGGGUCAGCCCGGAAAGGAUGGCAAGCUUAGAGGUGCGGGGCAAAUGGGUAAGCGUCAGUGGGGAAGCUCGACAGUCGGCGAUGGGGUAGUUGUGUGCCUAGGGUUUGCAUCACAAGGUCGAANNNNNNNNNNNNNNNNNNNNNNNNNNNNNNNNNNNNNNNNNNNNNNNNNNNNNNNNNNNNNNNNNNNNNNNNNNNNNNNNNNNNNNNNNNNNNNNNNNNNNNNNNNNNNNNNNNNNNNNNNNNNNNNNNNNNNNNNNNNNNNNNNNNNNNNNNNNNNNNNNNNNNNNNNNNNNNNNNNNNNNNNNNNNNNNNNNNNNNNNNNNNNNNNNNNNNNNNNNNNNNNNNNNNNGGCAGAGGGGGAAUCUACUCAAUCCUACCUAACCUACCUAACUAAAUACCCCUGAAUUUCACUAUCAUGAUGUGGAUCCCCAGCGAGGCAUUACAGGCGCGGCCACCACUGCAAUGGGUGGGUGGCGGUGCUUGCGGUCCUCUCACUGACGUUCUUCCAAAAGUGGCGACAAUGUUGCUCUGUCAUAAUACCAAUCUUGAUCUACUUAUCAUCACAAGAAACACCUAUGCAGCGAAGGUGAAGAUUUUAACCAUGGGGCGGCAUCACCCUAGGUUGAUACUCUAGAAGAAGGCCGCAAUAGAGAAACACCAGACGAGGGCAAAGCAGAGAAGCAAAGGAUGGAGAGGCGAUGGUGGCACCGUCCUUGCCCCAAACGUAGUUGUGUUCGCCUCGCUUUGUCGCCUUCAGGAAAAGCAAGUACACCCUUAUGUUUUUUCCUAUUAAGUAUUUUCUCAUCUUAGUUAUGAAAGAGAGAAUACUAAUUGCAUGUUGUAUACCAUCUUCUCAAUUUUUCCAAGAGUUUAGAAGGAAUUGCAACAACAUAUCAAGUGUUACUGUCCUUUGGCUGUUUACGGUGGUGUGUACGAGUUUGGAGCAUAUGUUGCUAGUGAUGUUUUUGUCCACAUGGGUGGCGGCAUAAUGUAUGUACUCCCUCCAUCGAAAUAUAUAUGGCCUAAUACAUUUUUCGAGGUUGCCUUUGACCAUUGAUAAAAUUGUUAAUAUAAGAGAUGUACGAUAUAAAUUAAGAACACAUUUCACAUACGAAUUUGACGGUAUGCUUCGUGUAGCAUGCAUGCCAUAUAUUAUUGAUCUAACAUGUGGUAAAACUUAACCUUGAAAACUUAUUAUGCCCUAUAUUUUUUAUUGGAGGGAGUAUAGGCUUUCCACUCCAUACAUCUAGGCAUAGUCACGGUCUUGUUUGACUUUGCUUUUACCGGCAUAGUACUUUGUGCGAGUUUGCAUUGGUUGUGUGUAUUCUGGUUAUGUAGAGGUGUGGGUAUAAACUCAUUAGCUUGUAUCACCUUGAUGCCAUAUUAUGUGUCAAUAAACACCCUUAUUUAUCAAAAAGAACUCUCCUCACAUCUUCCCACAUAACUUUUGGGAUAUUCUCAGAAUUAUACAAGGGGAGAUGUUGUACCACGGGUAGUGUUAAGAGUAUGAUUAGCUGAUUAUUGUUAAUUAGGUUGCUUAUUGCUACUCAAUAAAGACUAGUUAGAUGCAUUUAUUUGUCUAUCUGUCUCGUUCUUUACUUUAACACAACCAAAGGAAAUGGAUGUGGAUGGAAGUACUACACGGAGCGAGCCAGCAGGCAGCCAUCAUUGACGAACUACCCCGCUGACCCUCUACCCACUGGGUUUCAAUGCAGAACGUCCCUAGGUGUAGCCAUGCAUGCAUGAAUGCAUCAACCUUUUUGCUGACCGUAGUCAGGUCGAACUAGUAGUGCAAGUGCAAUUCAGUACCAGGGUGUUCAACUGAUAAUUGCACAGGACGAGAGCGAUUGAUAAUGCGGGAUUGUUCUACUGUCUUAAUCAACCACCUGCUCCGUCGGCGGCCAUGGCCACGUAUUCGGACGGUGCAUGGCCAGGCCAGCUAUAAAUACCCCAGGAGUUCCAGCACCCCUCUCCUCACCACCAUCUCUCCCAUUCCCAUCACACAAGACACAACGUACACCUCUGCGACCGCGAUAGCGAGAGUGGAAGAGUAGAUCGACGGGCAUGGCGAUAUGAGGAAGGAGGUCCUCCUGGCGGCCAUGAUGCUGGCGCUGGUGGUGGCGGCGCCGGGCGGGGCGCGUGCCGCGUGCGUGGUGGGGCAGCUGACGGUGUGCAUGCCGGCGAUCACCACCGGUGCCAAGCCGAGCGGCGCGUGCUGCGCCAACCUGCGCGCGCAGCAGGCGUGCUUCUGCCAGUACGCCAAGGACCCCUCCCUCGGCGCCUACAUCCGCAGCCCCCACGCGCGCGAGACCCUCGUCACCUGCGGCCUCGCCGUCCCGCACAGCUAGGCGCCAGGCCGCCUAGCGAGUAUGUAUGGCUCAGCUAUAGCUGCCUCCGCCGUCCAUCAGAUGAGAGAUGAGACUAUAGCUAGCCUAGCUGGUGAGUGCGCGAUGCGUCCAUGCCGCAUGCAUCCAUGUUCCUGUUCGAUGGAUGAUGAUGGAAUAAAAUAAAAGAUGUUGGGUGAUGAUGCUGGAAUAAAAUGACCGACUUUUGUUAACUUCAUUCUCCUCUGCUUCCUAUGUCCGUGGUUACUUGCUGUAAGAUUUCAACCAAAAUUACUACGAUCGGGUUUUGUACUUGUAGACACAAGUAAGCCACUGGUGAUUGCCUGAUACUCCUACAUUGCAACAGCUAACAUGAGAUGCUCUACAAGCUAGUAACUGCCUGCUGCUACUACUGUCGCUUUCAACGGGAUUGCUUGUGUGUAUAUGCGAUGUGUGGUGUGACUUUAAACACUGUGGCGCGUACUCAUGUGCGUUGAAUUCAUUUAUCAGCCAGCAAUCAAGUUCAGCUCCAUACAAUCAAGCCGGCACUAUUUUUUUUCCGCAAAGGGCAAAACAUUUGACACAUUCAUUAAUUAACAAGGAUUUUAACAAAGUCACUAGCCGGAAGGCGAAACAAAAGUCUACUCUCCCGACGUAAUAUCACACAAGUGUUGAGCCCCGGCUACCAUAUAUACAACUGCACGCUUCGUCUCGGAUCAUGUGGAUGAUCAUGUGGAUGAUGAUGUGAGGGGGCGCGGAGAUGUUGUUGAAGACUUUCAGAGCAUCUCCAACAGCCGCGCUAUAUAAGUGCCGUGCCGCAAAUUUGUGGUUUUUAGCGCGCGCGCAAUCGCUAACCAAACUCCAGCAGACGCGCAAUAACCGCUCGCGCGGCAAAAAGAGUUCAACGCGCGGUCCGAAACGCCAUCGCACGCCGUUUAUUGCUCCGCCCACUACCGCGCGCCGCACACUCGAGCGCCCGCACCACCCCAUUUGUUCCAGCGCUUCCCCGACCUAUCCCCGCGCCACCGCCGCUUCCUCCUCCCUCCAGUCGCCGCCGCCCCUCGCACGCGCCAUUCCUCCGACGAACAGCGCCCGGCCGCCCACUGCCGCUCGGCGCCCACAAGGUGUUCGACAAAACGCCUGCAAGGUAUGUAUUGCUUCAACUUCACAUUUUUUACAUGAAUUUGGUGCAUGUUGUUUGUAGUUUUUAUAGCCUCAUUUAAAUUAAACAUUGUAGAUGAGUUCGUCAUAUGAUUCUUCCGAAGAAGAAUUUGAUAUUGAAGAGGAGGAGGAUCUUGCAAUGAUCCUAUCUGUGCACAUCAAUAAAAAACCGAAGAACGGUGGUUCGGUUAUGGGUUGGCAGAAAAUUUGGAGGGAUAGGAUGGAUGCCCACAACACAUUGAUGAGGCACUAUUUUGUCGAUAAUCCCGUGUACCCCGAGUCGUACUUCCCGCGCCGGUUUAGGAUGAGCACCGAGUUGUUCAUGCGCAUUGUAGAGAAACUAGCGAGCCAUGACCGGUUUUUUCAGCAAAGGAGGAAUGCUGCCGGAGAGCUCGGACAUAGCACUUUUCAGAAGGUGGCAACCGCUUUGCGUAUGUUGGAAUACGGUAUUCCCGCUGAUCUAGUUGAUGACCACUUGGCCAUGGGUGAGAGUCAAGCCAUCAUGUGUGUCAAGCGCUUCGCAGUCGGAAUUGUGCAAGUGUUUGGCCAGGAGUAUUUGAGAUCUCCCAAUGCUGAAGACGCCGCAAGGCUAUUGGAGAUGAACAAAGCUCGCGGCUUCUCAGGUAUGCUUGGCUCAAUAGAUUGCAUGCAUUGGAGUUGGAAGAAUAGUCCUAAGGCAUGGCAUGGGCAAUUUCACGGCCAAAAAAGGGUUCCACUAUAAUCCUUGAAGCGGUGGCCGAUCAAGAGACUUGGAUUUGGCAUGCUUUUUUUGGAAUGCCUGGAUCUUUGAAUGACAUCAACGUUGUUAAUCGGUCACCACUGAUGAAUAAGAUUGCAAAUGGUGAACUGCCACCGGUGCAGUUUGUAGCAAAUGGCCAUACAUACAACUAUGGUUAUUAUCUUGCAGAUGGCAUCUAUCCAAAGUGGCAAACAUUUGUGAAGCCGUUAAAAAGAUUGGAAGGUAUGAAAAAUCUUGAUCUCCACAAUGCUCAGGCGGCAGCUAGAAAAGAUGUGGAGAGAGCUUUUGGGAUUUUGCAAACCCAAUUUGCUAUUGUGAGAGGACCGGCUAGAUUUUGGAAUCAAAAGAUGUUUUGGUACAUCAUGCACGCUUGUGUGAUCAUGCACAACAUGAUCAUCGAGAAUGAGCGUGGCCAAGAUUUAGACUAUUCUCAGUAUGAGCUCUUGGAACAUCCCGUGUGAGUGCGGCGGAGGACUGCCAGGGUGGCCCGUUUUGUUGCCUCCUAUCAUGCCAUUCGACGUGCCGAAACACAUGAUGAUCUUCAGAAGGAUCUCAUUGAGGAGUGGUGGGCAUGGAAUGGCCUACAAAGAACAUCAUGAUUUGUGCGUUUGAUGUUGUAUUGUUCAACUAUUUGGUCUAUUGCAAGAUAAACUAUUUGUUUGAGUUGUAAUAAUGAAAUUGUACUAUUUAUUGUUGAUUUAUUUUAUUUGUGUUUGCUUUUCUUAGUUGUGUUUAGAGUGCAUAUGUUUGUUUGUGCGAGAGCGCGCGCAGUUUUUUUGCAGCGUCUGUUGGAGCGGCACGCGCGCGCUAAACUUUGCAACGGCCGCUGCAGUAAGUGCACCGCCCCGCGCAAAAACGCGCGAACAACACGCUGCAAAAGCUUUUUUAGCGCUCCGCGGUAGCCCCGGAGGUGUUGUUAAGUUGCUCUCAGUUCCAAAAUUUCCCCACGGAUGCUAUGCUACUCCACGGCCUCUGCUCUAUCAAAAUGCAUGGGGCAGGGUCACUUCGUGUAAGCUAGCCUACCAUUUGUCAAUUUUGGGCAAUAUAUCGAGCCGACUGUAGCCAGCUGAGUACGUGCGUCAACGCCAUGCAUAUGGUACACACGUAUGUACGCGUGUCUCCGCCUUAUCAGCCGGCGAGAGGCCAUCGGCUUUUUUUUUUAAAUCGGGCAUAACCCCUUUUCAUUACUGCGAUAUAAUAGAAACACAGCAGUCCAAAGAAAGGAAGAAAAGGGAAGAGCGAGGUUAAGCAUCGUCGGAAAACCCACUGUGAGCACUCGCCAUCGAAAUUACCCACCAUGAGACGAAAAUCCAACGACACCAUAUCUCAGUUACUAAGUUCAGGGCCUACAGCCCCCACCAUACACCAAACCGCUCACGGCUGAGCAACAAAAGGCUAGACCCAUGCAGGGGAAGAAUUUAACAAAACAUAGCUAGUCCAGAGCAUCUAAGGAUCACAGAUCCACCGCGCGAAGUGUAUGUCUUAGCGCGUUGCUCCCUCUUGACUUGCCGCGCAGAUUCUCAUCAUCAUCGAUGCGUUCUCCUUCAGCAUCUUUGCCCCAUCCCUCAUGGUCGCAGCGUCUUCUUCUUCAGCAGCGCUGCCCAGCAACACAUUAAAGCACAAGCAGAAAAGAUGCAUUCAAACGGGGUUUUAAGCGGUUUGAAUUCGAAAGUAGCUCUGUUGCGACAAGACCAUAUCGCCCAACACAUAGCCGCAAUCCCUGCUGUGUAAAACUCUUCUCCACCAGGGAAAAAGGUAAAGCACCACACAUAAGCUUGCCAAAUACUAUCAAGGCAUAGUGCAGUGCCGAACAUGCAUGCAACUGUUCUCCAGGUCACCCUAGCAACAGGACAAGUAAAAAACAAGUGAUGCGAUGUCUCCCGCCCCUCGCAAAAGGAGCAUUUAGGAUUCCCUUUCCAUCCUUGAUGUUUCAUCACAUCUCUAGUCAGGACAACAUUAUGAAAUAACUGCCAUAAAAAAUUUGAAUUUUCAAUGGGAUUCUGGCAUUCCAGAUCCAUCUGUAAUCACACCCAGCAAUGUUUUUCUCUAGGAGAGAAUACACAGACUUAGUGGUGAAUGAGGUCUUCACACCUAAACCCCAUUUGAUAACAUCACUGUCCUCUGAAACACAGGCUUCCCGCGCCUUGUUACCCACAAUUAUCCAUUGUUCACUAAGUUUAGUGUUCAGCCUUCUUCUAAAGAAAGAGGAGGGGGUCAGCGUUUAAGCAUUUAUCAAUAGUGCACUCAGGAUAAUUGCAUAUAGAGAAUAAACGAGGGAAUUGUUCAGCCAGCGGGAUAUUGUCCCCAAUGGGGUCAAUCCAUAGCUAGCCUGGCAAUAUCACCUGAUUGAAUCACCACCCACCUUCCUGCCAUAUAAAGAUACUUCACCUUCAUAAUGGCUUUCCAGCACGAUGAGUCAUUGUUUUUCAUUUUGACAUCAGCCACUGUGGCCUUGCCGAGGUAUUAGCUUUAACAAUAUCCUGCCAUAAGCCUGAUUUAGUUUCCAACUUCCACCACCACUUGGUAAGCAGACUUAAGUUCUGCUUAUGCAAGUCCUUAACACCCAAGCCCCCUUUAUUCUUAGAUCUACAGAUUCUGGACCACUUGACAAGAUUUUUUUUCGAAAAGGGGGAGCUCCCCGGCCUCUGCAUCAGAACGAUGCAUACGGACAACUUAAUUAAUAAGCAAAUAGGUUCUAACACAAGUCUUGAUGUCUCAAACAAAAGAACAAAAAAUGCUCACAAAGAGCAGAAAAAUAAAAGUAAAGCCACAACAGGCUGGCAUAAGAAAGAUAGGAAAACUAACUGCCUAUCCUAUUACAUGAUCGCCAUCCAAACCGGUUGAAAAUAGCCCGUGCUACCAUCUCCCAUCGGAUAGAUCCAUUAACCAUAUGCUCCCUGGCCUCCGUCGGAGUGAAUAGCGACCACAUACGGGUCAACGCAGUGGCUCAGAAGAUAACCUGCAAAAAAUGAAUAUUUGUUGUUCUAUUAAAGACCAAAUCAUUUCUGCAGUUCCAGACUGCCCAAAAUAAAGCACAUACUCCUACGCGAAUGUGUCUUGCUGUUUCGGAAUCUAUCCCGUCAAGUCACGUCCCAAAUAACAUGCUGACAGUAUUCCGAGGAGUAAUGUUAAAGGCUAUGUGAAUCGUCUGCCAUAAAUUUUUUGCCAACGGGCAGUCAAGAAAGAGGUGUUUGAUGGAUUUAUCCCGAUCACAAAAACUACAUCUUGUAGGUCCUAUCUGGUUGCGUUUUGCCAGGUUGUCCUUAGUUAAAAUGACUUGUUUAUGUACAAACCACAUAAACACUUUAACUUUCAAAGGUACUUUGACUUUCCAAACAUGUUUCGAACUAGGAAUGGAGUUAGAAUUGAUAACAUCCAGAUACAUGGAUUUUACUGUAAACUCUCCAUUCCUAGUUAGCUUCCAGCACAACUGAUCGGGCCAUUGAGAAAGCUGAACAUCCAUCAGUCUACUCACAAGAUGGAGCCAGGCUUCCCAACGGUUUCCGGCUAGCGUCCUCCUGAAGUGAAUAUUGAGAGGGAUGGACUGAAGUACUGUCACCACAUAAGCGUCUCUUCGUUGAACAAUGCUAUAAAGUGAAGGAUAUUGAAGCGCGAGGGGUGUUUCCCUUAGCCAUGUAUCCUCCCAGGAUCUCGUAAUGGUACCGUUUCCGACUAUAAACUUUGUCCUAUUGAAAAAACCUGAUUUAACUCUCAUCAGUCCUUUCCAAAAAGGCGAGUCCGUCGGCCUCACUGUCACCUGGGACAAAGUUUUGGAGUGAAGGUACUUACUACGCAGUAUCUGCGCCCAUGUUGCCUCCGUCUCUACAGAUAACUUAUACAGCCACUUACUGAGAAGACAUCUGUUCUUCACCUCAAGAUUUUCAAUACCUAGACCCCCUUGGUCUUUCGGUCUACAAAUAAUAUCCCAUUUGGGGAGUCUGUAUUUUUGCUUCAGUUCAUCACUCUGCCAGAAGAAGCGGGAUCGAUAGAAGUCCAGCCUUUUUCGAACUCCAACUGGUAUCUCAAAAAAGGACAAGAGAAACAUGGGCAUACUUGCGAGAACCGAAUUAAUAAGAAUUAAUCGGCCUCCGUAUGAUAUCAACUUUCCCUUCCAGUAGCUCAGUUUCUUCUCAAAUCGCUCCUCAAUGCACUUCCAUUCUCUGUUUGUCAGCUUACGAUGUUGAAUUGGUAUACCCAAAUACGUGAAAGGUAAAGCCCCCAAUUCGCACCCGAACAAUUGCUUGUAAGCGUCUUGUUCCUCAUUAGCUCUUCCAAAACAGAACAAUUCGCUUUUAUGGAAGUUAAUCUUUAACCCGGUCAAUUGUUCGAAUAAGCAUAACACCAUCUUCAUGUUUCUCGCUUUAGCCAAGUCAUGCUCCAUAAAUAUAAUAGUAUCAUCGGCGUACUGCAGGAUAGAAACGCCUCCAUCAACUAGAUCAGGAACCAGGCCACCUACCUGACCAGCAUGCUUAGCCCUUCCUAUUAGAAUCGCCAACAUGUCGACUACUAUGUUGAACAGAAUAGGUGACAUCAGAUCUCCUUGUCUCAUGCCCUUAUGUGUCUGGAAGUAGUGACCUAUGUCAUCAUUCACUUUAAUUCCAACACUCCCUUUUUGCGUGAAAGAUUCUACCUGGUGUCGUCGGGCCUGAUCAAAACCUUUCGUACACAAGGCCUGUUGAAGAAAUGGCCAUUUGACUUUAUCAUACGCUUUCUCGAAAUCCACUUUGAAAACAACUCCGUCUAGUUUUUUCGUGUGAAUUUCAUGGAGCGUUUCAUUAAGGACCACAGCCCCUUCUAGGAUGUUUCUGUCUGGCAUGAAAGCAGUUUGGGACGGCUGCACCACAGAGUGCGCAAUCUGCGUGAGUCUAUUAGUCCCAACCUUGGUGAAAAUUUUGAAACUAACAUUAAGAAGACAGAUAGGCCUGAACUGCUCAAUUCUCACAGCCUCUGUUUUCUUAGGAAGCAAGGUUAUCGUUCCAAAAUUCAGAUGAAACAACUGAAGUUGUCCAGAGAAUAAACCAUGGAACAUCGGUAACAAAUCCCCUUUAAUAAUAUGCCAGCACUUUUUGUAGAACUCCGCUGGAAAUCCAUCCGGCCCUGGAGCUUUAUUAUUCUUCAUCUGUGAAAUAGCUUCAAACACCUCUUUCUCCGGAAAUGGGGCGGUGAAAAUAUCAUUCUCAUCCGUAGCAAGUUGAGGAACAUCAUCAAUCCUCGACUCAUCCAAGGAUACGAAAUUAUCCUCCGGAGGCCCAAACUGCUGCUUGUAGUACUCGGUUAUGUAUAAUUUUAGGUUUUCCUAUCCUAAAAUCAUUCCUUCGUCUUGCUCAAGCUGAAAGAUUCUUUUCUUUCUGUGCUUGCUAUUGGCAAUCAUAUGAAAGAAUUGAGUGUUAGCGCCCCUGGACAACUUUGCGAAACUUAGCUCGCAAUGCCCACUUCAAUUCCUCCUCUCGCGGGAGUUCUUUCAAUCUCAUCUCCGCGUCUACUUUAGCAUGAAGCUCUAUGGUCUCUAGAAUUGUGGACUCGGCUUUUAAAUCUAGGGACUGAAUAAGUGUAAGGAGCCUUUCCUUUUCAACCUUAUAAAUCCCACUAAGAUGCUUAGCCCACCCACGUAAGAAACUUCUCAAGUGCCUUAUCUGAUUCUGCCAUCUUGCAACGGAAGUCCUACCUCCUGCAUCUUUAGCCCAUUCCCUGGCUAUCAGAUCCAAGAAACCUUCUCUUUCAAACCACGCCAAUUCAAAAGAGAAGGUAUUUGUAUUCCCCACAUGUGUUGCCUCACCAAAGUCAACCAGCAAAGGGGUGUGGUCGGAGAUUCCGUGCAAUAAUGCUUGGACUGUUACCAGGGGAAAUUUCUGCUCCCAUUCGACGCUCGCGAGGACUUGAUCCAGCUUCUCAAACGUCGGGUUUGGCUAGCCCAAGUGAAUUUUCUACCCGAAAGCUCUAUCUCUAUUAGAUCCAAGCUUUCAAUAAUGGUAUUAAACAUAAACGACCACCUGCCGUCAAAGUUAUCAUUGUUCUUUUCCUCUCUCCUUCUAAUAAUGUUAAAGUCGCCCCCAACCAAGAUUGGAAGCUGCUCAGAACCGCAGAUUCAGACAAGAUCUGCCAAAAAUCUGGUUUGAGUUCUGGCUGCGCGCCACCAUAUACCGCCACCAGUGCCCAAUUAAACCCAUCCGCCUUCGAUCUAACCCGAAACUUAACGGCGAAAUCUCCCAUAACCACGCUUCGGACUUCCAGCGACUCGCAUCUAACCCCAAGUAAGAUCCCACCUGAUCUUCCUCUCGGAGGUAGGUAGUGCCAAUCAAAAUCGACACCUCCCGAUAAAGUACUUAGAAACUGGGGAGAGAAAUCGUCUCUUCCAGUUUCAGAGAGGGCGAUAAAAUCCUACCUAUGCUCGAUAGAAGCAUCCGCUAGAAACCUUCUUUUAGCCAAGUCUGUCAGACCUCUGCUAUUCCAAAAGAUUCCUCUCAUAUUUCGUCAUGAAAUUUUUUAGUAGUACAGUUCCUAGCACUUCUACGCACCGCCGAAGCUGGAUAAAUCUUUUGCUUCCACUUGCAUUUAGGCUUGUUUGGAUCCUCCACCCGGUCCUCACAACCAAGCUCCGUGGACCUAGCUGCCUGAGCCUCGAUAGAACCAUCCUCCUCCUCUGUCUCAGGAAGCGAUGGGGCAAGAUCCGCACAAAAAUUAUCGAGCACCCUAACUCCCAACGCAUCUAUGUCAGAAUCGUUCAUAGGUUUGACCACUUGACAAGAUUAUAGUGUUUCUUAUUCUUAGUCACGUGGCAGAAGAAUCUCCUUCUGCACUUGUCAAUCCUUUCAAGAAUGGUUUUGGAUAGGAGGAACAUAGACAUAUAAUAGAAAUCAAUGCUAGAAAUAUUAGCAUUUAACAGUGUGAGACGACCUCCUGAAGAAGCAUUGCCCCCCAAUCCAGAGUCACACCUUUUAAUAUAUCUAGCCUCCAGAAAAUCCCAGUCGGCUACACACAAGGAGGAAAAUGUCACUGGAACCCCAAGAUAUUUCAUGGGAAAGUGUCCAAUUUGACAAUCAAAAAUAUCAGCAUAUGUUCUAAGAAUAUCAUCAUCACCCCCUACACACAGGAUUUCACUUUUUUGAAAGAUAAUCUUGAGCCCAGACAUGAGCUCAAAGAUGUAAAGUAGCAAUUUCAUAUUCACAGCUUCAUCGGGAUCAUGUUCUAUACAUAGAACAGUGUCAUCUGCAUACUGCAGAAUAGCCACCCCAUUUUCAAUUAGAUCCGGUGCAAGCCCCACAAUCAAAUUAUUUUUCUAUGCUUGCAGAACCAUUUUACAUAAGCAUUCGGCAGCUAUAUUAAACAAGAAUCGUGACACAGGGUCUCCCUGCCUAACCCCUUUAAAACUUUUGAAAUAAGGUCCCAUAGCAGUGUUGUUCAGCUUAACACUAAUUGUACCAUCAACCAGGACACUUUUAAUCCACUUACACCAAGUGGUACCAAACCCUCUCAUCUCAAGGCAUUCCAACAGGAAGUCCAAUUUACCUUGUCAUAAGCUUUCUCAAAAUCAAGCUUUAUAACAAUACCAACUUUUUUCUUAACGUAAGUAUGAUGCAAUAUCUCAUGCAAAUACAAAACCCCAUCCAUAAUACUUCGAUGUUUGAUAAAAGCAUUCUGAUGUUUGCUAAACAGCUUGCCAGCAAAGGGAAUCACCCUGUUAUCAAGCACCUUAGUAAUUAGCUUGUAAGGGCAUCUAAGCAAGCAUAUAGGCCUAAACUGUUGGAUCUUAUUGGCCCCACUAAUCUUGGGUAGUAAAGUUAUAAUGCCAUAGUUCAGCCUACUAACAUCAAGCUCCCCCGCAUGAAAAGCAGUAAACAUUCUCAUAAUAUCCUUUUUCAUAAUUUCCCAGCAAUGCUGGUAAAACUCAGCAGGAAUAUUAUCCGGGCCAGGUGCCCUGUUACGUUUCAUUGAAAAUAAAGCUUUCUUCACUUCUUCUUCUGUAAAGGGUCUAUUGAGUAUUUCAUUAUCUAAAUCAUCAAGUUUUUCUUCUUCCCCCAUAUUCCAGGAUCCAGGUGAAACAUGUUCCCCUGAGCUGGCCCAAAUAGAUUCUUAUAGAAAUCAGUGGCAUGCUCCAGGAGCUUCUCGGUCCCCUCAAUCACCGUACUCCCAAUAUUAAGCGAAUGAAUCGUGUUUCUCCGCUUAUUACCGUUAGCAAUUUUCUGAUAAUAAGCAGUGUUUCGAUCCCCCCUCAAGCAACCAUCUCUCGUUGGAUUGUUGCAACAAAAAUAGUUCCUCAUUAACAAGUAUUUCAUUUAACUCCACAAGGAGAUCAGUUUUUCUGCAAAAUAUUUCAUGAUCUACACUUCCUUCUUCAUCUAGCCUCUCAAUAGAGACAAGUUCUUCUCUUAUCUCAUGUUUCCUCUUUUUCUCACAACCAAAUUUAUUUGACCUCAACCUUUAAAAAAAUUCUUGAAUCUUUUGAGUUUGAUAUUCAAAAUAUCAAUAGGGUCACUAGCAUUAACAUGCUGGUUCUAGAUCUUGUCAACUAAAGGAAUAAAAUCCUCAGAUUUUAACCAACUCAACUCGAACCUAAACUCUCUUUUUUGUGGAGCUCUGAUAACAUGGUUAUCCAAGGACAAUAAGAGAGCAUUAUGGUCAGACACCACCCUAACAAGUUUUUUCAUAUUAACAAGAGGAAAUAUAUCCUCCCAAUCAUUACUCAUAAGAAUACGAUCCAACUUCUCCAAAGUUGGAUGAGCUUGGUUAUUGGACCAAGUAUACGCCCCCCACUCAUAUGAAUAUCAUUCAAACACAUCGUAUUAAUAAUUGAAUUAAAGAGAUCAGAAUGAGCUGAACGACUCCACCAUUUGUUUUUCUCUCCACUAUGUCUAAGGAUGUUGAAAUCACCCCCUAUCAGCAACGGAGUUUGAAUAUGACGGAAAAAAUCUGCAAAUUCGCUAAGGAAAUCACUUUUAUCACAUUCAUGAGCAGCUCCAUACACCGUACAUAAGGUCCAGACCUUCUUCAUACUAAUAUCAUAGAGAGAAACCUGAAGGAUUAAUCUACCUUUCCUCCAGGCAAUCACUUCAAACUUUUCUUUUCCAACCCCGCAUAAUAUGCCCCCAGCUUUACCAAUUGAAGGAAUUCAUUCCCACUCAAAUAAAUUGUGUGGGUCGAGCUUUCUGAAGUAACUAUCUAGAAAGUUCUUUUUUAGAGUUUCUUGCAGACAGAGGAAAUCAAGGGAAUGGUCACUAAUGAUAUGGGAUAGGCAGGUUUUCAUCCCUUUUUUUCCUCCCCCCUACAAUUCCAAAAGAGACCCAUCAUUAUAUUUAUAUCUUUUUCCUCCCCCCCCCCUCUAGUGGCCCGGGUAUUAUGGACAGGUCUGCCAGAUUGUUUCCUCCCAGCAGGAUUUUGGCUUCUAGUAGUGGGUCUAGAAAUAGCCACUUGCACCUUUGGGCUCCUUUUUUCCCUAGACCGAACUACAGUGAAAUGCUCUUCCACAUCUUCAUCCCCAUCACCCCACUCAGUACUAACAGGGGUUUCAUCUCCCUUCCCAUUAGUGAUAUACAUCACCUCCUCCUCUAUCAUCACAUUUUAUUCCCCCUCUUUUUUAUAACUAUCUCCCCUGAUGAUUUCAAGUUCUCUCGUAAUAUCCACAUUAGAGAUAUUGCUGUCAGGGAUAGCUACCCGCAUUUUUGAAGCUCUAAUCAUAAGUUCAGGAUUAGAUAAAGCAUCAUAUGAGUUAUGGUUUGCUGAAGUACCUUCCAAAUUCCUCUUCUUAGAUAUGGCAAUAGCUUUUUCCUGCAUCCUUCCCUCCAUAGUCUGCAAGUUUCUCAGGCUGAAUCUCUGAACCUCUUCAGACAUAAGAGGGGGAGUAGGAAUCACCUCCCCCACAUCCUCAGAAGAAGAGGCAGGAUAUUGUACCAUGUACUCGGAGUUCCCCUGCAUCUUGGAAAGCUCCUCUCCCUCCAUUUCCUCAAUGUGAUCACAUUCCAUAACCACAUUUAAAUGAACUAUGUUUUCAUCUAACAUAUCAACAUCUAUAGGUUUUCUUUGUUUUUUCUACCUGAAUCUCAUUAGCAUUAUGCUUGGUAUCAUCAAUACCCACCAUUGCCCGAGAACCAUGCAUUUUUUCUUUGCUGUAGGCUUCCAUAGACAUGGUUUCAAUCAGCAGGGUGUUGUCCUCUGAUUCAUCAGACUCCACAUUCUCCUCAUCCUCUGCAUCAGCAGGAUUAUCGAACCCAUUGCUACAACUCUUGUGCCCUCCUCAUUUUUUUCCUUUAUUCCCAGAUUUGGGAUCAGCUUUGCGCAAGGUAGUUGUUUUCAUGUAAGAUGAGUGUUUUGCAUCAGUUCCCAUCGGCUUUUCUGACUUCCAAUUGCUGCCCAGCAAACGCGCUGGCCGAUACGCACGCCAUUUCCCCGGUCACCGCGAGAUGCACUGCUCCCUCCAGGUCUUCUUGACGCGUUCUAACUCAUCGACGCCGUCAGGCUCAACACCCGGGUCCUACGCGUUGCCCCCACGGCCAGGUCGACGUCCAAGGGAACACGCAGGUGGGCGGUGAGAUCCGUGCGGCGACUCAACGGCACGGAUGUUGAUGAUGCGCAGGAGGAUGAGGAGGUGUUAGACUCCGUUGUGGUGGCUACCGGCCACUACGCGCAACCGAUGCUCCCGAGUCCCGAGCGGCAUCCAGGGCAUGGGGGAAUGGAGGCGCCGGCAGUUGCACAGCCACUCGUACAGGACGCCAGAGCUGUUCCGUGGCGAGGUUGUGGUGGUGGUCGGGUGCGGGACCAGCGGCAAGGACACCGCGCUAGACCUCCGCCGCGUCACCAGGAGGUGCACCUCGCCGCCAUCCCCGAUGCCGAGGCGACACGCCGGCCAUGUCGAGGAUGUUGGAAUAUCCUAUUUGACGCUCUUUGUGUCAAACUGCCGGCGCUUCGCACAAGCGAGCGACCGAGCAGCGACGCAAAGAGUUGGCCCAGUUUUUGCGCGUACAGCCGCCACUACCCAGCUGGUUUUGGGAACCUUCUAGAAGCUUCCCUGAACCGGUUUUUUUCUUUUACCGGAUUUUCUGUUUCUUUUCCUUUUCUUUUUUUUCGUUUUCUGUUUCUUUUUUUCCUUUUCAAGGUUAUUUAUCUUUUUUAAACUAAGUUCAUGUUUGAAAAUUGUUCUUAAAUUUAGAAAAAUGUUCUUGCCUUUAAAAAAUGUUCGAGAUUUUGAAAAGGUAGUUUUUUAAAAAAUAUCAUGAUUUCGAAAAAUGUUCGUCAUUUUAAAAUUGUUUUCUUGUUUUCAUAAAAAGUUGCAAAUGCUUUUGUUCAAAAUCUUCAAAAAAUGUUUGUGAUUUUUCAAAAGUUGUUCAUGAUUUCUAAAAAUGCUUUUGUUGAAAUUUUAGAAAAAUGUUCUUCACUUAUAAAUUUGUUCAAAUUUUUCAAAAAAUGUUCAUGUUUCGAAAAAUGUUUUUGUGUUUCAUAAAGUUAUUCAUGUUUUUCUUUUUGUUCCUUUUAAAAUAAAUGUUUGGCUUUUAAUAAAACUCUGAAAUUUUCAGAAUUUGUUCGCCUUUUCUAUAAUAUGUUCAACACUUGGACAUAUGUUACCUUUUUCAAAAAAAAAUCUCAAAUUAAAAACAUGUUUGUGUUUUCAAAAAAUCUUCUGUAAUUUCUAAAAUGUUCACAUUUUAGAAAAAUGUUCUAGAGUUCAAAAAUGUCCCUGUUUUCAAUUUUUGUUCAACAUUUCAAGAAAUGUUCUGAAUUUCAAAAUAUGUUCAAAUUUUCCAAUUAUUCUUCACAGUUUUUAAAAUUAGUUCAUGUUUUUCAAUUUGUGUUCGAAUUUGAAAAUUUGUUAACAUGUUUCGAUAAGUGUUCAAAAUUUUCUCUAUAUUUCAAAAUUCUAUUCACGCUUUCAAACAUUGCUCAAAUUUUUAUAACUUUGUUCAUAAUUUCCAAGAGAAUGAUCAAAAACUCUGGAAAAGAUCAAAUCUCUGUCUUUACAUUCUUUACUAGUUUGUGCUUAUUGAGUGUCUGUAGGACUCGCCAGCCCAAGUGGCUAGCGACAAUGUUCCCGAGCUGGAGGUAAGGAGUUUGAUUCCCUCCUCCGUCGGAUUUUUUGCUAUAUUUUUACAUCGUCACGAUGCCUAAAUGGGCCGGCCAGUCGGUGCUCGGUGUGUGCGUCGCCGCGGCAAUUUGCCGCAGAGCGCGUCACAUAGGAGGUCCCGAGGAUGUUGGCCAACCACAGGGCAGGGCCGGCCCUGGGCCAUGCCGGCGAGUGCAACGGCCUAGGGGCCAGCCCGAGCAGAGGCCCAUACCUAUGCAUGUGUAGUGUAUAUAUUUCCUAGAAUUACUCAAAAAAAAUUCCUAGAAAAAAUAGUACACGAGAGAAGCAGGCCCAACCGAUUAAGAAGCGAGCAAGUCACGCACGAAUCCAUCGCUCCGUUCUGGCGUUCUCCGUCUUCCUUUUCCUUCGUCUCCCAGAAACAUGCCGCCAACUCAUCGUCUCCUGUUCAGGCAUGCUUCAUCUUCUUCCCCAAAUCCAAUUGAUUGUGCGAGUUCCUAAAGGCCAGGACCCCAACUCCCCAAGGCAGCGACGCACCCUAUGCCCUGGUAGGAACGCGGAGAGUAGCAACCCACAACGUGGCCGUACAUCAUUAGGGAAGUGGUCAGGGUCCAACCGUUCGAGGGAAGGCGGUCAGGGGCUGGGAAUCCUGGAAGUUCCUUGUAAUAUUUUGGAUCUCACUUUUUUUACCCUUGUCUAUUUGCUUAUGUUAUGAUGAAUCGAGAUAAUGAUGUUUGACCUGUUUGAUUCUUCACUUGUUGUACACCAUUGUAGUCAGGUAGACUUGCUGGUUGCGGCUUGCUUGAAUUUCGAUCACUGGAUACCUAGAGCAGCUUGGGAUUUCUUCCAAUUUACUCCAAGACCAAGAUUCAAGAAUUCAGGUGUUCCCUCUCCUUUUUUAACCGUGUUGCCGAAAAAGCAUUUAUCUGGUUGUGAGAAAAGAAGAAGGUAGAAACUUGUAGAUGAGUUCAUUGGAUCUCAAAAGGGUUCUAUGCAUAAAUUCGUUUUUAGAAAUGCCACUGAGGAUUCUAGGAAUUUGGGUGGCCAUGAGAAUGUGUCUAAUACUGAAAAUCCAAAUGAGGAUGAACACGACUUCUCGAUUUUUGGAGCUUCUAUAUCCUAUAAACAUAUAUGAUAUAUCCAUGGUGUAUCAAGACCAUAUUUGCUAAUGAAAUUUAUACUUGCUUUUAUAAUGAAAUUUUGUGGUACAAGAUAGGUGUGGAAGCAUUUUCUGUGUCUAUUAUAGCAUAUGGCAGGGCCCAAUGGAGGCAGUUCGCACAAGGGCCUCUAGAAAGCCAGGGCCACCCCUGCCACCGGUAAGUGUUGCGCCUGCACCUGCGGAUACGCAGAUGGGCGAGUGGAGUUCGCCGACGGCUCCUCCGUUGUGGCUGACACAGUCAUCUACAGCAUAGGGUACGGCUACUCGUUCCCGUUCCUGGACACGGGUAGCGCGGUCGCCAUGAGCUAUGACGGCUACGUCGUGGGGCCAUUGUUCGAGCAUGUGUUCCCGCAUUCCUGGCGUCGUUGCCCUCCUUCGUGGGCGUGCCGAGGAAAGUCCUAAUCCCGUGAUUCUUCAAGGUGCAGGCACGGUGGAGGGAGAAUUCCGAUGGAGUGAGGGAAAGCUACAAAGGCAAGGCUUCUUUCCCCAAACCGUAUUCUUGGUCUUCUUCUUCUUCUUCUCAUUUCCUUCUACUUCAAUUUCAGUUUCAGAGGCCACCGGGCAGGAUAGGGGGCAAUGGUCCCCUCCCUCACACACACAACUUAGCCGGGUGCUUCCCCUACUUUUCUCUUCACUCUCUUCUCUUUGUCUUUGCCCUCUACUUCCACUACAACAUUGCAGGAUCUUGGGCGAGAUCCAACAGGUCGUCGACAACGUCCAGCCAACAUGCAGCACGGCCCAUGUGUCGGCCGGUGCACGCAUCCUCAACGCAGGGGCGAACAUCAUCAGAGCAUGUGCCAAGGGCGAGGAUGAAUGAAGGCCUGCCCCGGCCCAUUUACGAUAAGAAUAAGAAAUUACUAUGGGCAUUUCAUGUACUACUUACAUCUGGAGUUUGAAUAAUAAGGCUUGGUGUUUCUCAAAAAAAAAAAACCACUUCACGUACUACGUGUUGAUUUUUUUUCUCUAAUACCCAUUGAACAUUUUGCAUAAAUAACUUGAAGCCUUUUGGAUACACGUUCAAUAGCUUUCAAAUACACGAGGAAAAUUUAUCUGAAUACAUGUUCACAUCUAUAAAAUGCUCAUCAAGCAUUUUUCUACUACACAAUGAACAUUUUCAAAUACACUUUGAACAUAUUUUAAAAAUAGCAUGCAUAUUUUUCAAAAUGUGCAGAAAUUCCUGGAGUGUCUAUGAACGUUUUUUGUAUGUUAUAAAGGUUUAUUUAAAUUGGGUGAACAUAUUUUAAUAUUUCAUGAACUUUUUCAAAAAAGGGCAUGAACAUAUUUUUAAACACGUAAUUUUUUAAAUGGUAGGAACUAUUUAUUUGAGUGGUACAGGCAUUUUAUAGAAAGUACGCAAGAAAUUUUACAUUUUCAUGAACAGUUUCAAAAAAACUUAGUGAACAUACUUUUUAAGUGUCUGAAUAUUUUCUAUAUGACACAAACAUUUUUUCAUAUGUUAUAAACAUUUGUAUAAUUUCAUGUUUAUUUUCUAAUUCAUGGUGAACCCUGUUAAAAAUUUAAAUAAAGUACCUCUUGAAAUAUUUAUUUAUAAUAUAACAUUUUGAAAUCUAUAUCUAUACCUACUAAUAAAGCAAGGUGUGUUUCUCCGACUUCUCCAUCCGUUCACCGCCGAAAAGGAUUUUUCCCUAUCCGAGGUGGUACUAAAUUUUUGCGUCCGUUUGCUACAAAAUAAAAAUCAAUUUUCGUACAUGGGCCUCGCACGUUGUGGCCUGUCGAAGCCAGGCCACUUAUUUUCCUGAGCACGCUGCUAGGAAGACCCUAUUUAACGCACGUGGCGACAAAUAGUCUUAACUUCGAACAGGGCUCAAGGCUGUGCCAGCCCGUUUUAUUUUUUCUGUGUUUUAUUUCUAUUUUAUUUUUUGUUCUUUAUCUAUUUCUUUUUAAUUUUAUCCCAGAAAACUUUAAUUUUUUUUAUUUUGAGAACAUAAUUCCGAUUUCCACAUUUUUGUUCAUAUUUUAAAAAAUGUUCGAAACUUGAAAUUUUUGUUCUCAUUCCAAAUUUUAUCAGAAUUACAAAAAUAAUACAUUAUUCUAAAAAACUAUUUGUGUUUAAAAAAAUCGACGUAUAUUUCAAAAUAUAAAGCAAGGUGCGUUUUUCUAUUUUUUUUAUCCGUUCACCGACAAAAAGAUUGUGUUUAUCCGUGGUAGUACUAAAGUUUUGUGCGUUCAUCUGCUACAAAAGGAAAAUCGUUUAACCAGGGUUUCGUACCUGGCCGCGCGCUGAGGCCCAGCGAAGCCAGACCUCUCAUUUUCCAGCCCACACAGCUGGCAGAACCCUAUUUGCCGCACGGGAGCAUCAAAUACCCAAAGCUUCGCACAGGUCGCCCAGUAAUGGGCCGGCCCAUUUUAUUUUUAUCCUGUGUGUUGUCUUUUGUUGUUUAUUUCUCCUUUUUUUCCUAUAUCUUUUUUUUUACUUUUUUCCUUCCAAGUUUAGUUUCGUUUUUUCCUUUUUUAACUAAAUUCAUCAUUUUCAAAAAACCUCAGAAUUUAAAUUUUUUGUUUGAGUUUUCGAUAAAUGUUCCAAAUUCUAAAAAAAAUCUGUUUGGAAAAUGUUCAGAACUUUUUUUCUUUAUGAAUUUGUUUUUCAAAAUGAAAGAAAUCUUUAGAAUUAUUCAAUUUUAUUAUUUUCCAUAAUUAUUCAUAAUUUCCAAUAUUUCUUUUUGCAUUUCAAAAAUGUUUCAAAUGUUUCAAAUUUUGUUGUUUUAGUGAAAUGUUUAAGACAUUUAAAUAAUUUUAUUAAUUGGAAAAAACAUUUUCAAAAUUGUUCUGAAUGUCCAAACCAUUUUACGAUUUCAAAAAAGUGUUCACCAAUUAAAAAAAAUGUUUAGGUUAUUAUAAAAGGUUAAUAUUUUCAGAAAAUGUUUUUGAAUUUCAAAAUAUAUUCCAGUUUAAAAUGUUGUUCAUCUUUUUCGGAAAUAUUCAGCAUUUUCAAAAAGUUGUUUGGAAUUGCAAAAAAUGUUCAUGUUUGAAAGAAUAUACGCAAAUUCAUUCUUAUUUUUCUAUAAUAAGUUCGAAAAAAUAAAAAAAAAUGUACUGACGCUGCAUUAUGUUCUUAAAUAUCCGCGCUGGUCAUUGGUUAUUAGGACAUGUUUCUUCAGCUAGCUAGCAGCACGUCGUCGGGUCUUUGAUUUAUGUGCUGCAAUUAGUAAUACAUGCAGUUACGCCGUGAUGGGAGACGCUGACCAACCCCACCAUGAUCAAGAUCUCGUAUGCCAAACAUGACCCGCGAGAAGAUCGCAGCUCCUACCUCCGUCAGCCACUGUUGCGGAGACUGUUUUCAGAGGACACAUCAUUUCUCUCAUGUUACUUCUCGUAAUAAAUAUAUUUCCCGUUGCAACGCACGGGCAUAUGUGCUAGUAUAAACAAAAGAAAAAGAAAUAAUAAAAGGUGAAAGAAAAGAAACAAUAAUAACUGUGGCGACACGCAUGCUUUGUGCCGCACUGUUAGGGAGAUUGUUGGGACCUUGCUACAAGCCAGGUAUAGAGACACCCGUUGCGAAAAAAAUACAGGCCAAACAUUCAGUAGGCUUGUAGCGGCAGUAGUAAAAGUGAAGAGAAAUAUAAGGCAGUGAUUCUAUGCUUUUGAGACCGUGUGCAACGAGCGUAGCACUAGCGUCCGACGGCACGCGGGUAUCCGUCCGAUCGUGAGACCGUUUUAAAGCACGGGCGGCUUGGUCCAUGUCGACGAUGUGUUGGUCGCGACGGAGAAGAGAGGGAGGAGGGCACCCGCCAGGAGCUAGUCCGCGUCGGAGCAGCAGCUCGUCGGCCACACGCUCGUCCACGUCAGAGCACCAACACCUGGGAGGAGCUCGUCCGUGUAAACAAGUGGUAGUUUUAAGAAACCCGGGCCCGAAUCGUGGUAGUUUUAUGCUAUUUACUGUUUUAAACACAACAACUAUACGUAGGUUGACUAUAUAUAUUUGCAAUUUGGGUUAGCUGAUUUUGUGGGAGGAGAAAGCCGGAGGAAGAAGAAAAAGAAUGACAGUUGGAUCUUAAUCUAAUGGCCCAAAAAAUUGACUUGCCCACAUAAAUUUCGUGCCGACUCAUGUAUAAGCCGGUACUGUUGUACUUUGUACACGGGGCGCGCUGGUGGCCAGACAUGAUCGCGCCAGAAGGAAAUAUCACGGCGGUGAUGCACAGUAUUAUAGCGCAUUUGGAUCCAUCGCUUCACCGAGAGAGCGGGCAGCCACCAUGGAUCGGACGAGAUGAACUACUCGGCUCACCUCUACCGACUGGCCACUUGAAUGCACUACAUAAAGUGUGCCCAUGCGUGCGUCAACCUUUUUGCUGACCCUCCCUAGUCAUGGCCAACUACAUGCUUCAACUCUCCAUGCAUUUUGGUGUUCAACCGAUAGCUACAGCGGGAACGAUUUACUAUCCGGCUUGCGGCAGGUGGGGGUGUUAAUUCGCUUUGUCGCCAGUGAUCGAUCGACGUGCCUUUCGCUUGGCAGCACACAUGGCGUGCCCAUCUUUUUUUUUUCGAGGAUCAAUGCCGCCACUUUAUUACUUAAUCGUAGCUGGGAAUUUAAUAAUCUCCAGAAUAACUUCAGGAGGAAAAGAAAACCACACUUUGCUAAGUUCUUCACUCAAAUCUAAUUUAGCUCCUCCUCCCUCCUCUUCCCCCUCCCCCGGCGCUCCCGUCGCCCCCCGAGGCGGCAGAGCGCCCCCCUGCCCGCCUCCCCAUCCAGACCCCCUCCUCCUCCAUCUCCAUUCGCCGCCGCCGACAGCGGCCUCCGGCGUGCCCGGGUGGCGCCGACGGCGGCAGACCUCCCUUCCCCGUGCGCCUGGAGGAGGAGUCGGGGCUCCCCUGCCCGGCGGCGGUGUGGCCCGGUGGCGGAGUUCUGCGGGCCUCAGGUGCUCUCGACGCGGCGACGUGGCCGUUGGCUGGCGGGCGGCGCGGUGGGCGGCUGGCCGGCGGCGCCUGCUCGGCCGAGAUCUGGACCCUUUCGGGCCCCAUCUAGGCUGGGACGGGCCUGCGGUCCGGGGCUCGACGACGUAGCUCCCUGGCGGUGAGGCGAGGCGGCCGUGGAUGCGAUGGUGAUGGCUUCAGCGGCCGCCGUGCUGCAGCGUGGCUACAGGGUCUGCCGGACCCAUUGGGGUCUGGCCGGGCCAGUGGUGGCCUGGCAAGUCCCUGUCGCUAUGUCCGGUUGGCUCCACGCGGCGGUGGAGGUUGUUCCCUCCUAUCGGCUGCGUUGCGGUUGCCAUCGAGCCCGGUGUCUUCUCGUCCUACCUCCAGGUCUAUGCGUAGAUUCUAUGCACGAGUAAAACACAAAGUAGCUGUGGGCGAUGAUUUGGUCAAUUUGCUUGCCGUUACUAGUCUUAUCUUGAUUCGGCGGCAUUGCGGAUGAAGCGGUCCGGACCGACCUUACACGUACGCUUACGUGAGACUAGUUCCACCGACUGACAUGCACUUGAUGCAUAAGGUGGCUAGCGGCUGUCUGUCUCUCCCACUUUAGUUGGAUCAGAUUCGAUGAAGAGGGUCCUUAUGAAGGGUAAAUAGCAAUUGACAUAUCACCAUUGUGGCUUUUGCGUAGGUAAGAAACGUUCUUGCUAGAAACCCAUAGCAGCCACGUAAAACAUGCAACAAACAAUUAGAGGACGUCUAACUUGUUUUUGCAGGGUAUGCUAUGUGAUGUGAUAUGGCCAAAAGGAUGUGAUGAAUGAUAUAUGUAUUGUAUGCUAUUGAUCAUGUUCUUAUAAUAGAAAUCACGACUUGCAUGUCGAUGAGUAUGACAACCGGCAGGAGCCAUAGGAGUUGUCUUAAUUUAUUAUAUGACCUGCAAGUCAAUGUAAACGCCAUGUAAUUACUUUACUGCUAACCGUUAGCCAUAGUAGUAGAAGUAAUAGUUGGGGAGAUAACUUCUUGAAGACACGAUGAUGGAGAUCAUGGUGUUAUGCCGGUGAUGAUGGUGAUCAUGCCGCGCCUCGAAGAUGAAGAUCAAAAGCGCAAGAUGAUAUUGGUCAUAUCAUGUCACUUUAUGAUUUGCAUGUGAUGUUUAUCAUGUUCACACCUUAUUUGCUUAGAACGACGGUAGCAUAAAUAAGAUGAUCCCUCACUAAAAUUUCAAGAAAAGUGUUCCCCCUAACUGUGCACCGUUGUGAAGGAUCGUUGUUUCGAAGCACCACAUGAUGAUCGGUGUGAUAGAUUCUAACGUUCGCAUACAACGGGUGUAAGUCAGAUUUACACAUGCGAAACACUUAGGUUGACUUGAUGAGCCUAGCAUGUAUAGACAUGGACUCGGAACACAAGAGACCGAAAGGUCGAACCUGAGUCGUAUGGUAGAUGCGAUCAACAUGGAGAUGUUCACCGUUGAUGACUAGUCCGUCUCACGUGAUGAUCGGACACAGCCUAGCCGAUUCGGAUCAUGUAUCACUUAGAUGACUAGAGGGAUGUCUAUCUAAGUGGGAGUUCAUCAAAAAAAUUGAUUAGAUGAACUUAAUUAUCAUGAACAUAGUCUAAAUUGUCUUUGCAAAUCAUGUUGUAGAUCAAUAGUUCGCGUUUAAGCUCCCUGUUAUAAUACGUUCCUAGAGAAAGACUAAGUUGAAAGAUAUUGUGAGCAAUUGUGCGGACUUGGGCCGUAGUUUGAGGAUUGUCCUCAUUGCUACACAGAAGGCUUAUGUCCUUGAUGCACCGCUCGGUGUGCCAACCCCUCUAGCGUCGUCUGUGGAUGUUGUGAACAUCUGGCAGACACGUUCUGAUGACUACUUGAUAGUUUAGUGCGCCAUGCUUUACAGCUUAGAAUCGGGGCUCCAAAGGCGUUUUGAACGCCAUGGAACAUAUGAGAUGUUCCAAGAGCCGAAAUUGGUAUUUCAGGCUCAUGCCCGUGUUGAGAGGUUUGAGACCUCUGACAAGAUCUUUGCCUACAAGAUGGAGGAGAAUAGCUCAGCCAGUGAGCAUGUGCUCGGAAUGUCUGGGUACUUCAAUCGCUUGAAUCAAGUGGGAGUUAAUCUUCCAGAUAAGAGAGUGGUUGACAAAGUUCUCCAGUCGCUAUCACCAAGCUACUAGAACUUCGUGAUGAACUAUAACAUGCAAAGGAUGGAGAUGAUUCCGGAGCAGUUCGUCGUAGGCCGCGGAAGUAGAAAUCAAGAAGGAGCAUCAAGUGUUGAUGGUUAACAAGACCACUGAUUUCAAGAAGGGCGAGGGCAAGAAGGGAAACUUCAUGAAUGGCAAGACAGUUGCCGCUCCAAUGAAGAAACCCAAGGUUGAACCCAAACCCGAGACUAAGUGCUUAUAUUGCAAGGGGAACGGUCACUGGUAGUGGAACUACCUCAAAUACUUGGUAGAUAAGAAGGCUGGCAACUUCAACAAAAAGUAACAUAUCAUUUAUUAUGAUACAGUAUCAUGAUAUGAUACUCCAUCCUCUCUUUCUUCAUUUAAUGCUAUGACACCUCAUCAAAAUUGUCUAGUUGGCAUGUAUGAUGCUAGCUAUGAUACAACCAUUACAACCAGCCUGACCCUAGUCAUGCCGAACUACUGCAGUUCAGUAACUAGCCGGCUCGCGGAAGGUGGGUUAUUAAUUAGCUACUAAGGUUGCCAGCUAUCGAGCUCGGAGUCUGGGACCGUGCGUGGCCGCCUAUAAAUACCCACCAUUGCAACACUCUGAUGCUGGCACUGGUCAUGGCGGCGCCGGGCGGGGCGCUCGCAGCGUGCGAGGUGGGGCAGCUGACGGUGUGCAUGCCGGCGAUCACCACCGGCGCCAAGCCGAGCGGCGCGUGCUGCGCCAACCUGCGCGCGCAGCAGGCGUGCUUCUGCCAGUACGCCAAGGACCCCUCCCUCGGCGCCUACAUCAGGAGCCCCCACGCGCGCGAGACCCUCGUCUCCUGCGGCCUCGCCGUCCCCCACUGCUAGGCGAGUAUGGCUCAGCAAUAGGUAGGCUACCUCCGUCGUCCAUGAGAGACGAGAGACUAUAGCUUUAGCCUAGCUGAAAACAUGACAUACUCUACAAACUAGUAAGUCUGUUGCUUUCAACGGGACGAUCGAGAGGACUAUCACACCAGAGGGACACAUCUUUUAUCACUACUGUUAGCCUAGCAUUUGAAAAUUUUGGGCACUAUAGCCGAGUGCAGCUCAGUGCGUAAGUGCGUCCACACCAUGCAUAUGGUACGCAAGUACUCCAUCGUGUGUUGGAACAAGAUGACGAUGACGAUCGGCGGCGGGCAGGUUGCUUCCUGGCUGCUGCUCAUUAAACUUGUAUAAAAAAAUCCUGCAAAAAAAUCUUGUUUUUUCUAUUAGUAAAGGCCUCCCUCUUCGAUUUCGUAUAAAGAAACCAUUUGAUCUUUUUUACAAACUAACACCUCCAGACCUAAACCACGCCCAAAAGCAAGAAAAACUCCAGACUUCAAAAAUACGCACGCACGAAUACCUUGUGUCGAAACUUUCAUCAGAUGGAUUGAGCUGUCUCACACACUGCCGUACAUGCACAAUGCAUGUUCAGCCUGUUCUGAUAUGGUGCAGAUCAUGUUGCCAAAUGAAGGCCCAUGUAUGUGCUACCGCGCUGGGGGAAAUUUUUGAUGCUUCCACCAUGAAGAUUGGGGCACGAGGAUUAGGGCUACCAGGCCAUCAAAAAGGCAGGAUUAGGCGCAGACCAUGUUGCCAAAUGAAGACCCACUUAUCUGGCAAUACCAUGGUGGCAAUUUUGAUACUUCCACUAUGAGGAUUUGGAGCUAUUAAUUAGGACAUCUCCAACGUGGAUGAUCAAACGGACGCUCCCAAAUUUUCCGUCGACGGGCACAGGCGUGUCCGCAGACAUCAGGUCGGGGGCGGGCAUCCAACCAUGCCCUCCCUUUUCUUAUACUCUGGAUAUUAAAUAUAAUUGAAGAUAAAUGCCACAAUGCAUCAAUAACUCAAUAUGAUCAACCAUGCCCUCCCUUUUUUGCUGCAAAUCUGAAGAUGCAUUUGGAGAAAUUGCUCAAACGCCGCCGGAUUCUACUCUGCAAGCCAGACAUGUUCAUCCAUCCGUUGAAAACUCCAGACCCUGGAGAACUGGUUCAAGAAUGAUGGUGGACUUUAUAUGACGAACCUUCUACUACACUUGUUGAGCAGGAAGUUCUUUCAUUUCUAGUGCAUGCAAUCCAGGGAUCCAAGCAUACCUGGAAACCCUCUUGAUUCUCUAAGUGCCAUCAACCUUGUUGUUUCUUUGACAUUUGGUUCUCCCAAGUACUCGGUCCACAUCACAAAAAAAAGUACUCCGGUCCAAACACCUUGACCGUUGCAGUAGCAAAUCUAAACAUGACAUCCAAGCAUGCGCUCUUAGACAUCCGGAGGUAGUCAUCCCACUGAUCUGCAGCUGUGCCAUGCGCAAGCAUCCUUAUAGCAGUCAUGCACUUAUGGAGACCACGGAACCAAAUGCAGCUAAUGGCAUCCUUUUUCAGCUUAAAGUAAACAUCAUAGGCCCUGUCAACUUCCACGAUGCGUAAGAACAAUGGUCGCCGUUCGGAGCAAAGUAGUCCUCGUAGAGGUCAUUGUGCCCUCGUGUCGGAUGUCAAUUCAACAUUCGAUGUGCCUUUCUUUGACCCUGUGAAGUAGAGAACAUGUUCCUCCGUGCUUUGUUUCCUCAAGAAUCCUCCUUACUGCUGUUGUUUCAUCUCAUCUUCGUCAUCCGACGAAGAAAAAUCUACAAACUCGGUGUAUAAGUUCCCCUCGUUCGAAUACAUCAUGUUUGCCUCAAAGUGAACAAAUAUGACAUCCCUUGGAUUAAAAUUAGUUGAUAAUUCUACUAUUAGCUUGACAUGCCCCGAUCAAUUGUGCCCGAUUACUCUUUUUGGAGCAAAGAUUGGUGAAUCUCCUAAAUACCUAUAAGACACAUGGUACUAGCUCUACCAACUCUAUGGAUGCUACUAUCUUCACGCAUGAGCACUGGAUAGUGGAUAUUUUUAGCCAGGCUUAGCCACUUGCACUCUUUCUCUUUGGACAAUCACCGGUUAGUAAGAGCCAUGCUCUCUUCCCAGGAUCUCCAUGGCAAUUUCCAUUUACCCUCUCAGAGGAAGCUUUUUUUUCAAUCCAACCUUAUGCAUGUCUUGAGAGAUGGGUUCUCCCCUUCUGAAGCCAGAUGUAUGUCGCUUCGAUGGCUCGCAGUUACAUUUUAGUGUAUCGCAAGUAUAUAGUUUAUAGAUUGGAGAUCAGCCACCUAUGCCAACAGUGUAAAGGAUUUGGGAAAACAUGUUGUCAGAGUAAUAAUAAAGUUUUUUGUGGCACAAUAGACUCAACACUAGAGAUUAUACUAAAGAGAACAAACCUUCAUCCCUGGCUAAAACUUUGUCAUCUGUGGACAACGCACACUAGAGACCAAGGGUCAUUUGUUUUCUCACUAUCAAUUUGAACAAAUCCAUUGGAAAUACUUCCGCCCCCAUUGGAGCCUGAGACAUGGCAAUUGUAGGACAAAAUUGGCCACUUCGUGAUUUUUUUUAAUAUUGAAUCGUGAAACAAUUUUUUACGAUGUAUAUUUUCAUUACAAACAAGGUAUAUGAGUAUGGUGCAAAAAAAGGCGAGCAAAAUAAGAAAAACCUAUCCAAGGUUGAGCAAACACUCAACCAAUACAAGCUCUAGGAAACAUGCAAAACAUAUUACAAGUUUACAGAAAGCCACUCAUGGAAGCAAACAACAUGUUUGUUCUGAAUUCUAUGAGCAAGAAUAUCCUAACCCACAUUAAUAGCAUGUCUCCAGGCUUGAAUGGAUUGAUUGGUGCGCCUGAAAUUGUUUCAAUUUAUCUGAAUCCCAAGGUUUAACAGCCAAAAUAGCAAUCCCCAUGCCAAUAGAAAAAGGUAGAGCAUCCAAAGCAAACAUGGUAUAUUUAUAAACAGAAGUUCCCUCCUCUUUCCAGGGAUGAGGGUGUCCGAGCAGCCCAAGAAAAAUCACAAUCCCAUAAAUGAUGCAUAAUGGACAAUUGUACCUAUCCUUGAAAAAACAUUUUCAUUUUAGCAAGCAUCUUGUAUUAGGACAUGCAAUUUGAUAAAAUGACACGCCUUUCCUGGGGCUUUGAUCUAUUGGCACCCCUUUCUUUUGAUUUGAUUAGAUUACACACAUUUGAUGGAUAGCCAAAUGAAAUGACACAAAUUUAGGUUUUUUCUCCUUUUCCACGUAUGGACCCAUGCGUCAUAUUUUUUUAGGAAGAUUUUGCCCUUGAUUCUAUUCACUUUUCGAUUGGUUCGUUCGAUCCUUUUCGGUGGUCGAACGAACCAACACUCACGAGGCCGAGCUCGAGGCAAGACCAUAGAUGAGGCAGAACUGUAGUGGAAUUGCUCAUCGCUGCCUCGCUGAUUCCUGAUUUCCUUCCACCCUGCGCCGCCAGCUCCCCCACGACUGCCUUGGUAUGCCUCAUUCCCUGUUGUCGAAUCUACUGGUUUUCUCUUUGAUUGACCCUAAACCCCCUUCCGCAACCUCUCUAUCCCCCCCCCCCACCAUGUCUCACUCUGGCGCGUCCUCCCUCUCUGGCGGCACCAAUCCUUUUGCUGUUGUCGCCAGCGCCGUCAUGCACCCCACUAUCUCUUCCAUCAAACUCAUCAGCAUCAUAUCACAUGCCCAUGUUAUCCUUAACUUCAAGGAAGCAAACAUUCUGAUCUGGCAAACCCACUUGAACAUCACCUUCCACAACCUCGGUCUCACCAACCACACCAAUGGCCUUGUUGACGCUCAGGUGAUAGUUGGCAACAUUGAGUGGACCAAAAUUGACCAGUGUAUUGUGUCCUAGCAUCGAGCUCGGCCUCCUGUGUGCCAUUUUGACCGACCAUGGGAAAGUCAAGAAGUGAAUCAAGGUGAGGGGAAAAUAGUCCUAAAAUAGUGUGAAGUGCGAGCUCAUACCUGGAAAAGGAGAAAAAACUCAAUUUGUGCCAUUUCAUCGAGCUAUCCAUCAAAGAUGUGUCAUGUAAUGAAAUCAAAAGAAAGGUGUGUCACUAGAUCAAUGUCCCAGGAAAGGUGCGUCAUUUUAUCAAAAUGUAAAUAAAAUUAAAGGGAUUUACCCUAGUCUAUAUUGUUGCAAGAGCAAAUUCAAUGAAGAAAUACAACUACUGAUUCCGGUGACAAGAGAAAGACACAUAUCACGAGCACAUAUACCACCUGCUGUGAACAGUAAAUUAAAAAAAAUGAAUUUUAUUUGUGGCAAAAAUUGUUUAAUUUUUCGAGUGCAAGCAAGUUUCAUCGUGGAAUGUCAUCGACGGAAUUCAUGGAAAAAAACCAGUGCUCCAAAAUGCUUUUGAAAAUAGGUUCUAAGGUACAUCGAUUUUUUUUCUCCAUGGCUUACACAAAUGGUAUUCCUUCAUGAAACUUUGCGAGCAUUCAAAACAUUCAAAGUUGUUUGCCACAAAAGAAAAGAGAUUUUUCUGAUUUUUCUUACCAUUUUUUUGUGAAUUCAUUGUUCAUCCGGGUUCAUUUGUGCUCGCGAGAUACGUACGCCGCGUCCACAUACCCUUUCUUUUGGGCCACAUCUUUCCAUUGAUCUAAUUUUCCACAUCUUUCGCUGGAUGCAUGCUUGUGCCACGCAGAUCAGUACUUAAUUAAGUUAUUUUUUUGACGAAACACAACAAGACUAAAUUGUUUAUUUUUGUGACGAAGCACAGCAGGACUAAGAUGUUUGACACAACACGACUAAACUAACAUCAGUUCACACUCUGCCAAACUGCACAUGCACCGAUCGAUGCCAUUUUUUGUGCCACGAUCGAUGUAAUUUUUUAUAGUUCUUCUUAGCUAACCAACAUAUCAGUUCACAUGCAUCCAUCAAUCGUGGCAUAUACUACUACUGUAUGGAGUACGUAGUUUGUACUUAUCUACUCAAGCCUUGCUAAGCCAAGCGUCAACGAGAGCCACCAUCCAUCCACCGGCAUGGCCGCUGGAGACGGCGAGCCGGUGCUACAGUCAAAGAGCGUGUGCGUGGUUGGUGGUGGCAUGGCCGGCCUAGCGGCGGCGCGCGAGCUGCGGCGGGAGGGUCACGCCGUCGCGGUCAUGGAGCAGAGCAGCGACGUCGGCGGCCAGUGGCUGUACGACCCGCGGACCGACGUCGAGGACCCGCUCGGCGCCGCGGUGCCGGUACGCGUGCCCAGCAGCAUCUACGCCUGCCUCCGCCUCAUCAGCCCGCGGGAGGCCAUCGGCUUUUCUGACUUCCAGUUCCUGCCCAGCCAAGGCGCCGGCCGCGACCCGCGUCGCUUCCCUGGCCACCGCGAGAUGCACUGCUACCUCCAGGACUUCUGUGACGCGUUCGGACUCAUGGACGCCGUCAGGCUCAACACCCGGGUCCUGCGUGUCGCCCUCACGGCCAUGUCGACGUCCAAGGCAACACGCAGGUGGGCGGUGAGGUCCGUGCGGCGUCUCCACGGCACGGAUGAUGAUGAUGAUGCGCAGGAGGAUGAGGAGGUGUUCGACGCCGUGGUGGUGGCUACCGGCCACUACGCGCAACCGAUGCUCCCGAGCGGCAUCCAGGGCAUGGGGGAAUAGAGGCGCCGGCAGCUGCACAGCCACUCGUACAGGACGCCGGAGCCGUUCCGCGGCGAGGCCAUGGUGGUGGUAGGGGGCGGGGACAGUGGCAAGGACAUUGCUUUGGACCUCUGCCACGUCGCCAGGGAGGUGCACCUCGCCGCCAGCUCCGAGGACGCCACGCCGGCCAUUUUGAGGAUGCUGGCCAACCACGGCGACGUCUUGCGCCUGCACCCGCGGAUACGCCAGCUACAUGCGGACGGGCGCGUGGAGUUCGCGGACGGCUCCUCUGUCGUGGCCGACACGGUCAUCUACUGCACGGGGUACGCCUACUCGUUCCCGUUCCUGGACACGGGCGGCGCGGUCACCGUGAGCGACGACGGCUACGUCGUGGGGCCGCUGUUCGAGCACGUGUUCCCGCCGUCCCUGGCGCCGUCGCUCUCCUUCGUGGGCGUGCCGAGGAAGAUCCCGAUCCCAUGGUUCUUGGAGGUGCAGGCGCGGUGGGUCGCGCAGGUGUUGUCCGGCCGCCGCGAGCUGCCGCCGGAGGAGGAGAUGCUACGGUCCGUAGAGGAGCACCUCCGCGCCAGGGAGGCCGCCGGUGUGCCAAGGAAGCUCACGCACAACAUCGGUAGCAUUGAACCUCACACAAUAUUCGAGUUUGGGGAGAAGUAUUGUGACUUCACACCGCUCGAGGAGUGGAAGAAGGAGCUCAUGGUGUCCAGCGUCGUGAGCAUGAUGGACGACGUGGAGACCUUCCGUGACCUCUCCAAUGACAGCGAGAACGUGCAGAAGGGCCUGCAGGAAUGGCGCUUGGGUGCUGCUGCUCAAGGUCAAGCAAAACCAAUAACAACUCCCGUAGACGCUGAAGGUGAUGGCUUUUAGACCCUGUUUGGAAUUCCACCGGCUCCGCGAACUUCCGGGAGCUACAAAAGCCAGGAAAUAGGUGCUCCACGAUUUUCAACUGUAAUUCGAGCAGCUCCAGGAGUGGAGUUGUGGUACUCCGAACAGGGCCUUAAUAGAAGCCAAAAUUGAUGUUGUGAUUUUGGACGUAUCUUCCAAUAAAUAUCCAAGGGCUGGUGGUUUCAACGCUGAAUUCAUAAAAAAAACGUUGGCAGAUAAACUAAAAAGAUUGUUAUGAUCACCUCAGGAGAUCCAUGUCAAUUAAGAGCAUCAAUAUUUCUUUCAUCACUUCGAUUCCCAAGAAGGAUGGGGCAAAUAUUGUGAAUAAGCUGCAUAAUCAAGUUGAUUACAUAGUUAUUGGCUAAUAGAUAGAUUAGUAAAGGUCAUUCUGGAACUGCUUCACCCCGCUCGGGUGCCGAUAUCCUCGCUUGCCUUGGCUCCCUUCGAGGCCAAGCUAAUAUAGUUAUGUGGACUUGCGUUGGGGCGCUGUUGUGGUCGCUAUGGCAUAUCCGCAACAAAAAUUACUAUUGAGGGUUCAUUUCCAUCCCACCUAGUUGAUGUGAUCUUUAAAUGUACAAUCUUCUUGCAGCCCGUUGGGGAAGCGUCGGGACUCUGAGGGUUUGGAGAUAGCGAUGCAUCAUCUACGCAACAUCAACAGCAUCGCCCGUGCAUCGCCGACGUCUGCUUAGGGGAGCAGCUUAUUUUGGGUCUUGUUUGAGCCUGCGUGCUCUGAUCUAUGUUGAACCUGUGUGCUCGGGUCUGUUCGCUACUUGUCAUUUCAGUUUGGGACCCCGAUAUUCCGCAUUGUACGUGAAUGUGUUACCUUGGUAUUCUGCUGUUCCUGGCUUUAUUAAUUUAAAGCCGGAUGCGGCUGGCAUCUUCGUUCUAAAAAUAAACUGCUUCACACUAAUGGCUUCCUUAAGUCAUAGGUCAAAAGAAGCAUUUUUUUAAAAAAAUUGGAUUUUUAGAAAGACUUUGCUAAAAUUGAACAUCAAAUGAUUCGUGUUAUUUUGAAACAGAAGGGAUUUGGCCCUAAACGGUGUUGCUGGGUCAAACAGAUCUUAUCUUCAGCCACAUCUUCUGUUCUCCUUGAUGGGGUGUCUGGUCCUCAGUUAAAAUGCGGGAGGGGAGUAAGACAAGAGGAUCCAGUAUUCCUUUUGCUCUUUGUCUCAACAACUGAUUUCUUGCAAACUAUCCUGAAUAAUGUCAUGCAUGCUGGACUACAUCAACGACCUCUCGUCGGUCAAUCGUGCCCCGAGUUUCCAAUUCUUCAAUAUGCAGAUGAUAGUCUGACUAUAGAAAAAGUUAGCUCCCUGGGAUUCACUCAUUUGAAGCAACUUGUGACACAUUAAUUUCUUCCUCUCGCCUUAUAGUUAAUCAUCGAAAAUCCAGCAUGAUGCCCAUUAAAUGUGUGAGUUGACAUUCUGCAGAAUCUUUCUCAAGUCCUAAGCUACCAAGUGGGCUCUUUUCCAUUCACAUAUUUGGGACUGACCCUCUGCCUAUCAAAACAUAGAAUGGACUUCUUUAUGCCACUUAUUGAGAGGAUCCACAAAGGCAUAGCGCAUUCCUCAGUUUUUAACUUAUGAUGGCAGGAUGUUUGGUGGUUAAUGCAGCGCUUUCAUCCCUUCCCACCUUUGUGAUGUGUUGCUCAACUGCAUAUAUGGACAUUUUGUAAUGUGAUAAUUAUAUAUUUAUAUGAGGUACUGUUUGUGGAGAGAUGAACCCACCACUUGCUGCAUGGGAUCUUUUAUAUGUAGGACCAAGACUCAAAGGGGCCUAGGAAUUUAAAAUCUUGAAACUCACAAUGAUGGACUGUUUCAAAAAAUGGUUCGUAAGUUUCACAACAUUCCAUGGGUUAAUCUAGUUUGGGAGACCUACUAUCAGAGUAGGCUUCCUCGCUAGUCUGCACAAUGCUCGUAUAUUUUUUUAGAACAAAGACACUAGGAGUGUCCGGCUUUAAAUUAAUAAAGCCCACAACAUAGGCAGCGUACCAACCAAGUCAACCUUACACACAUCACGGAAAUGCUCAGGCCAUACAAACGCGGGAAGUUAUAAGGUUCAACGGCGAAAAGAGCGCGAGCAGAAGUUACAUGGCGCGGAGGCCGGAACACUGAGCACGCAUGCUCGUAUUUAUGGUGAGAUUGUUUGAAAUUGCUGCCACUAUACGCAUGGAAUGACAAUAGUUUGCAAAAUGUAUGACUCCAUCUCUUCUGAUUUGUCAAGAACUAAAACAUUUCCCUCCAAAGGGUGCUGCCUGCCAUAUGAUAACCCAUUUGCCUCUGGUUGUUGAAGCUUACUCACGGUUUGAAGACACAUGCAGUUUUAACCCAUAUGAUAACACUCCUACAGGAUACAAAUUGGAUGCCAUAUGAUAACAUCGAGGGAAUAUUUUAACCUCUGCUCUGCUCAGAAUUCAGUUUUAACCGCAGUUUCUUCUUGAGCUUGAGCAACUAAGCCGCCGAGCCAUCCCUGCCGACCCUUCCGGACGUUCUCGCUGUCGCCGUCGGCGCGGUUGCGGAAGGUCUCGACGUCAUCGUCCAUGCUCGCGUUGCUGGACAGGAUCAGCUCCUUCUUCCACUCCUCCGUCGGCGUGAAGUCGCAGUACUUCCCCCCGAACUCGUACAUAUCUCGAGGUUCGACGCUGGCAAUGUUGUGCGUGUGCUUCCUGGGUACGCCGGCGGCCUCCCUGGCGCGCAGCUGCUCCUCCACAGACCGCAGCAUCUGUUCCUCUGACGGCAGCGCGUGGCGGCCGGACAGCACCUGCGCGACCCACCGCGCCUGCACCUCGAAGAACCACGGGAUCAGGACCUUCCUCGGCACGCCCACGAAGGAGAGCGACGGCGCCAGGGACGGCGUGAACACGUGCUCGAACAGCGGGCCGACCACAUAGCCGCCGUCGCUCACGGUGACCGCCCCGCCCGUGUCCAGGAACGGGAACGAGUAGGCAUACCCCGUGCAGUAUAUGACCGUGUCGGCCACGACGGAGGAGCCGUCGGCGAACUCCACCUGCCCGUCCGCGCGUAGCUGGCGUACCCGCGGGUGGAGGCGCAGGACGUCGCCGUGGUUCGCCAGCAUCCUCGACAUGGCCGGCGUGGUGGCCUCGGCCUCAGAGCUGGCGGCGAGGUGCGCCUCCCUCGCGACGCGGCCGAGGUCUAGCGCGAUGUCCUUGCCGCUGGCCCCGCACCCGACCACCACCACGGCCUCGCCAUGAAACGGCUCCGGCGUCCUGUACGAGUGGCUGUGCAGCUGCCGGCGCCUCCAUUCGUCCAUGCCCUGGAUGUCGUUCGGCAGCAUCGGCUGCGCGUAGUUGCCGGUAGCCACCACAACAGCGUCGAACACCUCCUCGUCCUCCAGCGCACCAUCAUCAUCUUCGGUGCCACCGAGGCGCCGCACGGACCUCACCGCCCACCGGCGCGUUGUGGUCGACAUCGACAUCGCCGCGGGGGCGACGCGCAGGACCCGGGUGUUGAGCCUGACGGUUUCCAUGAUGCCAAACACGUGGCAGAAGUCACGAAGGUAGCAGUGCAGCUCGCGGUGGCCGGGAUAGCGGCGCGGGUCACGGCCGGCGCCCUCCCGAGGCAGGAACUGGAAGUCGGAGCAGCCCAUGACCUCUCGUGGGCUGAUGAGGCGGAGGCACGCGUAUAUGCUGCUAGGCACGCGCACCGGCGCCACGGCGCCCAUCGGAUCCUCGACGUCCGUCCUGCGGUCGUACAGCCACUGCCCGCCAACGUCGCCGCUCUGCUCCAUGACCGUGACCGUGUGACCCUCCCGCCGCAGCUCGCGCGCCACCGCCAAGCCGGCCAUGCCGCCCCCGACCACGCAUACGCUCUUGAACUGUAGCACCGGCUCGCCGUCUCCAAUAGCCAUGCCGAUCGAUCGAUGGCGACUCUUGCUGACGCAGCGCUAUGUUUUGUUUGGUUUCACGACGAUGGGUCCGUAAGAUUCCUAACUACUCCACAAAGGAAUUGUUUAUACCACGAUGACUGUCAUGCAUGUGCAGUUUGGUAUUAAUAAUGGAUAAACAACUCCGUCUUCAGUGUUUCGUCAAUCAAAAAAUAAAAAGUAUUUUGUUGGACUGAUAAAUAACAACUCAGUCGUGUGGUGUUUCGUCAAAACAUAAACAACUUAGUCAAGUGCUUUGUCGUGACUCACUGUUGAACAAAAUUUGGAAAUAAUGAACCGUUUGAAAUUUUGAAAAAAAAAAUGUAAGCGUGACCGUUUUUUUUUUUUAAAGAAAGAAGAAACGUAGCAGGAAAAGGAAAAUAAAUAAAUAAAAAGAAGUUAUGGAAAAAAGACCAGUUCACAAAGUGUUCCUAAAAUCUUUUUAAAAUUCCCAGCCUGUCCGUUACUUAUUGUGUCUAGCUUUAGAUCGUUCAACAAAGGCAUGCUGUCGCAGUGGUUGUGGAUGGACUCGAGUUCUUAAUGAAGUGCAUGCAUUUCACAGUCAGACAAUCUAUUCACACAUAAAGAGGGAAAAGUCAAAGACCAGAUGUCAUCUUGUAGCUAUAGGGAUUAAAGCCCUUGGUUUGUGUGGCUACUCUAGCAGACUAUCUAUGACCCAUCUCUAGUAUAGAAAAACAGAAAUCCAGGAGCAACAUUUUAAUUAGUUCUCCACUCAGCUACUGCCCUGCUGUGUCCUUAUGGUGAAUGAUUGAUGGUGUAUGUUUUCCUGUUAGUUCUCUGUAUGCCAACGUCUGAAUUUUAUCAUUUUGCAUUUCUCCAAACCUUUCAUCCUCACUGCGAUCCCCUGAGAUGCACUGUCCAUAGACAAUGUACUUUCUAAUAAAACAUGACGGUGAACUUGAAAAGAGUAAUUUACCUAGCUACAACAACCUAUUGUUUAUGUUCCUUGCUUUUGCAAAUAGUAGUUUAUGGUUGACACUUUAGUCUCUAUCUCUCAUGCACCCAUCUGGACUAUAAAUACAACAACAUACACCAUGGAUCUACUACUGCGCCUCUCUCUCCUCAAUACACAUAGUGACACACCAACACCUUGACUAUGCUCUAUAUAUCACAGUGGUUUCCAAAUUCCAGAUUCGUAUUCAAACAAAUGAACUAUAUAUAAUGAGUCAUGAUAGGUGGGUGAGCCCUGCUACUGUUCGGUUGUAAUGAGUCAUGAACAGUGAAACAAAGAAUUCUUGUCGCAUAAACAUCUAAAUAGAACACACCAAACCAUUUUUUUAAAGAUGCGAUGGAGAGGCGGCGGCCUCAUCGUGGGAGCAGUGGCACAAGAGGAGGGCCCUCCUGGCGAUGGAGAGGCAGCGGCUUCGUCGGGGGAGCAGAGGCGCGAGAGGAGGCUGCGCUCCUCCUUCUGAUGAGCACCAAGGGGGCGUGGAGGAGGAGACGAUGCGACGGCGAGCGGAGGCGGCGGCAUGCUAGGGCGCGUGCGAGCGGGUCUAGGGUUUGGAGGGAGAGAGAGAGGCAAGGUGGGAGGAAGGGGAGAGGGGCGGCGCAAGUGCGAGGAGCGAUGGCUGGGUGAUCUCCACGGGAGCCGCUGCGAUUUAUACCCUUGUGUGUGAAAUGAUGAAAAUGCCCUCGGCGGGGCACAUGAAUUAUGCGCAGUGGCACCGCUGCAAGCAGCACUAUUCAUUGCGAUAGUGGCCAGUUUCGAUCCGGCAGAUGAGAUCGACCGGGAGCGGGAUCGGACGGUCCAAAACGAAUAAAAAGACGAUCCGACGGCCGGGGAAGACCAAAUCACUGAAGAGGCUGGAGCUCUCCCGUCAUUCUGAUUUCUUGAUGUACUUAAAAACUGUUAUUUUAAGCUUUUAAUAUAACUAAUAAAUACAAAGAUAUCAAAUUGAAACCAAUAAAUGCUUUUUAAAAAGCAUUUAAUAAAUAUUUGAAGGAAAAAAUAGAAUUUAAAAUCAUAAUUUAAAACAGUUACUUAAAAAUAUUGUUUUGGUAUUCAAAACAAUAUUUCAAUUCUUUUAAAGGUUUCAAAAUGAAAAAUAAAUUUCAAAAUAGAUAAAAAUGAAUUAGAGAAAAAAGAGAAGAAAAAAUUAGAAAACAAAAAACACUUAGGCCUUGGCUCAAUUAGGCGACGACAUCGCUCCCAUCGGGCACCGGUUGGCCGGCCUAAGCGCUCGUGGUUUUGAAAAAUGUUCAUCAAUUCAAAAAAUGUCGCUGUUCUAAAAAAUAUUCACAAAUUCGUAAAAUGGACUGUUUUUCAAAAGUUAUUGAAAUAUUCAAAAACUAUUCCGGUAGCUUCAAAUAAUGUUCAUACUUUCAAAAUUUGUUUGCAGUUAAAAAAUUGUUCCAGUUUCCAAAAACAGUCUACACAAGUAAAAAGAUGUUUCAGGAAAUUAAAAAAAGUUCUCAAAUUUUUGUUUGUAUUUUUCUUAUAUUUUAGAAUUCCAAAUAUGUUAGUGUUUUAAAAAAACGAAAAGCUAAUAAAUUGUUCCUGCUAAAAAUCUGUUCAUUUUUAAAAGAGUUUGGACAUUCCGAGCAAUUAUUAAAGAUACAUUUUUCAUUAAAUUUUUGUAAAAAAAUUAAAAUGCAAAUAUUCGUAGCAGGCGUUGGCUCAAUGGUUCGUAGUGCCGUCUAGAACUAGCAUACCCGAGUUUGAUCCCUCCUUCUUCUUUUUAAUUCUCUAUUUAUUUUAAUAAAUGGUGCCGUAAUGGGCCGGUCCGUUACUGUAUCUCUUCAAUGAGAGAUCCUUCUAGCUAUGGUGUAUAUUUAUAAUUUGACAAAGGUCUAUAUUGUCUUUAUACAUUUAUUAGUGAGGGGGUUGUAUCAUAGCGGGACUCUUUUACGUAAUGCGUACGUCUUUUAAAUCCCAACCGUCAAUAUCUAUAAUUAACGAUCAUGGUAAUUUAAUCUAUAUGGAUGAACGUGAUGACUAAUUUGACUUCUGUUUUACUAUAUAAUUUGACAAGUGUCUAUAUUGUCUUUAAAUAUUUAUUAGUGAGGGGGGUUACAUUGGAACGGGACUCUUUUACGUAAAGCGUACGUCUUUUAAAUCUCAACCGUCAAUAUCUAUAAUUAACGACCAUGGUAAUUUAAUCUAUGUGGAUGAACGUGAUGAAUUAUCUGACUUCUGCUUUAAUAAUAUAGUAAUAGAUAACUGCGACGGAUACUUAACAUCACCAGCCACUAAUUUGAGCCCAUCUAUAAACCUUUUACUGAUGGUGAUAGCUCCGCCUGCACAUCCGACUGUUACCAUUCUCUCUCACACACACAUAGAGCAGAUUUUGGAGCGAAUCUGCUGUAGUACUUUGAAGUGCGAAACACCUCAAAUACCUGGCAUGCCUAAGUAUCCUCUAUAACACUAUGCUCCCUAGUUUUAAAGGGCCCACAUUCAAUUGAGGUCUCCAACUGAAAUUGGGUCAUCCGAUUUCGACAGGGUCAACAGUUUCUCGGAGCCAUCUCAUUCAAUUAUUUUAUACUAUACACUAUGCUUCCUAAUUUUUAAGGUCUCUCAAUUAAUUAAGUCUUCAAUUUAAAAUUGAGUCACCCGAUUUUGAUCUGGUCAACAAUUUCUCAAGGAGCUCUCCUAUUCAGUUUUUUUAAUUCACUAUGUUCCCUAAUUUUGAAUCUCUUUCAUUCGACCGAGGUAUUCAGUUUUGGGUUUGGUUAACGAUUUUGAUCGGGCCAUCAAUUUUUUAAUCAGUCAACAACAACUGAGCUAUAAAAAUGUAUCAAUCCCGCCCACCCUCCCACCACCUAGAAAAAAACGCCACCAUGUGAUAUUGUAGCACCAAUAUAGUACAUGCAGCCACCAACGCAGAAAUUACCCAACAUAAAUAUAUGUUGGUUAGCGGAUAACUCACAGGACCACACCACGAAAGUCCCAUCAAAUCACCGCAUUAUAAAUAACAAAUAAAACACACUCCAUCACCCCCCCCUUCUCACACACACACAAGCCAAACUAAAUAUUCCAUCACUUCCAAAAUACCAAAAUAUAAGGGCUAUUGGUUUUUUGGAAAGUCAAGAUUCUCUCACUUUGACCAAGUUCGAAUAAAAAAAUAUUGACAUCCACAAUCUUAAACCAAAAAAUAUAUAGAAAUUAAUGUAAUAGUGAAUCUAAUCAUACCGAUUUCAUAUUAUGGAUUUUGAUGUAUUUCUCUACACAUUUGAUCAAACUUAAAUGGUUUUCAAAAACAUAAUACACCUUAUAUAUUGAAAUAGGGUGAGUAUUUUUUAAGACAUCCAACAACACCAACGGCGCAGCAAAGCGCGCCCAACCUUUCUAGUACUACACUAUUUGUGGUGUAGUAUUGCGGUUCUGGGCCGUUGGAUCACAGAAAUAAACGAUCCAAGUAAACUGACCCUUUUUUUUAUACCCUCCAUCAUCAUGGUUCCCCGCAGAAUCUUAUUUAGUUCACUCAAAGAAUCUGCCUAACCAUCCGACUAUCACGGCGUAGCAUCUGAUUCGUUGCCUUCCUUGCUCAUUGUGUUUGUAAGUUGGUACGCCAGACAUAUGUACUACUCCUUUUUGUGCAAACAGCUAGCUACAUUCAUUGUAUACACACUCCCCCCGUCCCAAAAUAAGUACAAAGUUGAGACACUUAUUUUGGGAGGGAGGGAGUAAUAAUAUAGCUAGUGUAGGGCUCUAGGCACAAGGUGACAGUACUCAACCCAUAAUGUAGUGCAUAUAGAUUUUCUGGUAAGUCAAACACUACAAAUUUUGAUGAAGUUUAUAGAGAAAAGUAUUUAUAUUUACAAUACCAAAUAUAUAGAAUAUUAAAGUACGUCUGUUGAUGUGUCUAAGGAUAUGUAUUUCGUAUAGUAGAUGUAUAUAUUUUUCUUUACAAACUUAGUCAAAGUUUAUAAAGUUUGACUUUAAAAAAUACUCCCUCCGUUCCAAAUUACUUGUCUCAAAAGUGAAUAAAAAUAGAUGCAUCUACAAUUAAAAUACGUGUAGAUACAUCCAUUUCUGUGACAAGUAAUUCCGAACGGAGGGAGUAUAUAUAUAUGAACUACAUUGUGAAACGGAGGGAGUACUUACUAACUAGUCUAGGGAAACGAGUCAAUUGCAAGAAACCACCACAUUUGCGGCUAGGUUUGCAGAAAACCACCAACUCGUUAAUCCGUUGCAGAAAACACCGGAAAAUUUGUUAAGUCGUUGCAAAAAGCACUGAUCGGGUGAUUUAGCCCGUUUCAUCACUUUCUGACAAGUGGGGUCGGAUUGUAAGAAAUUGACUUAGCAAAAAAUUAGCACAUACACCCCUAGAUCUAAAAAACAAAAGCAAUCAGAUCCUCCCCGGUGGAACACCAACGCCCUAUCCACAACGCGCCGCCACCGCGCUGCUUCCAUCCGCCGCCGCUCUGCUCCGGGCCGGGAGGAUGAGGGAGAAGGAGGAGCCUAGCUGGUUUGCGCGCUUCGAAGAGGACCUGUCGGCGCCGGGCGAGCUCUUGCCGUGCAGUCGCCCACCCCCCGCGAUCUCGCCGCUGCCUUCGACAUCCCGACGCACAGGGGCGCCCAGGAGAUGAACGGCGGCGCGUCGUCGGCCGCCGGCUCCAGCGGAAGCAACGGGGAGGAGCCGGCCAGGACCCUCAAGCGGCUGCGCCUCGUGUGGACGCCGCAGCUGCACAAGCGCCGGAGGGGCCUCUGGAUCGAGCUCGUCCUCCUUCGUGGAUGAGGGCGACGGGAAGUCGAGCAGGUGGACUCAUCGUCUUGUCGCCUCCCCCCUCCAACCCCGCCCUUCACCACAUCGGAGGAGGAGGGUGCUGCUCCUCUGCUUCGGCUCCCGACGCGUGCUCCAUGUCGCUGACCCGACCGCCACCGUCGCUGCCGCACCGGCAGGCCAACGCCUUGGAAACGCGCGCACCCCAGCCGCCUCCUCGUCAUCUGCCGCGGCCGUGGCCGUCUCCUACGCCGAAGAGGGCGUCGCCGUGCGUACUGGACGGCAAGGCCAGUGCGCCGCGGUUGUCCACACCGGGGGCCUGAUUGCCUUUUCUGUAAAUAUCUAGGGGUGUGUGCGCUAAUUUUUUGCCAGUUAAGCUCCUUACAAUCUGGCCCCACUUGUCAGAAAGUGAUCAAACGGGCCAAAUCACCUAAUCAAUGCUUUUUGCAACGACUUAACAAAUUUUUCGGUGUUUUCUGCAACGGAUUAACGAGUUGGUGGUUUCCUGCAAACCUAGCCGCAAAUGUGGUGGUUUCUUGCAAUUGACUCCUAGGGAAACAUGUCCAAGCUGGAAAAUAUCUUGGACAAAUUGACCUGUGUUUUAAAGAAAACACUUGACAAACAUGCUACUUUGCCGAGUGUUUUUUCUAGCGCUCAGCUUGGGUAAGUGUUCGCUGAAUACAAUGUUGGUGAAAACGCAAACGCAAUUGGCAAGAGAACCACGAAUCUUCAAUGUUAAAGGUCAGGGUGGACACGGUCCGGUCCGAGCCGGCGUUUGGACCGGCCGCCGGCGGUCCGAGCCGGCGUUUGGACCGGCCGCCGGCGGUCCGGUCCGGACCGGACCGAGCAGCGCGGCGGGCCUGUUUUCAGGGACCGGCGGCGGUGAAGCCUGGGCCGGACCGAGAGGACCGGCGGUCUUGUUUCCAUGGUGGCCAUGGCGAGGCGGUGGUGACCAAAUUGUCGGCAAGAGGAUGGGUGUUGUGACAGAAAAAGUGAACAAAGGCAGCAGCGAGGUGGGAGACGUGUGUGGGUGCUGUGGCGAGGUGGGCGACAUGCACGAGCGCCGGCGGCGAGGUGGGCGAUGUGCCAUGGGAAGUGCGCUCUGCGUCGCGGCGGUUAGCCAUGAACAGUCUUUAGAAGUUUUUUUCGUUGCAUGCAACUAAUAUGGGACGUGCAUGAGCCCACGAUUUUCUGUCUGCGGGCCAGGACCGAUCCUUUUCUCUAGCGGGCCAGGACCGAGCGGGCCAAGACCGAGCGAGCCACGAGCGGGCCGAAAAGCCCGCUCGUUACGUCCAGCCCUAGUUAAAGGGAAAAGUAGAAGAUUCUAUACCAACACGAAGAAGCAAGGGAUGCGUAUGAGUAGAAUCCUUGAAAGGACAUGAUCACGAACACGUUAGCAUCAGGAGCACUCAAGGAACACAAAACUUUUUUCUUCAUCUACCUAGGUCGGCCGGAGACGAUAGAUACUAGACGAAGGCUCUGUCGCUGAACAUUUGUACAUGCUUAAUAAGCUAAUAAGAGAGGAAGAGAUAGAGAGGAGAUCGAUGAUGGGUUUCUCCGGUGCUCUGCAAUGGUGGGAUGAAUGGCACCUGCGCGUUCUGGCGCUGGGCAGCCUCUUCAUCCAGUACUUCCUCUUCGUCUCCGGCACGGUGCGCAGGCGUGCUCUUCCAGCUUGGCUCAGGCUCUUCAUCUGGCUUGCCUACCUCGGUGGGGAUGCUCUGGCGAUAUACGCGCUGGCCACCCUCUUCAACCGCCGCUCGCAGCUACCCGGCGACGGGAGCGGCAGCGGCCUGGAGGUCGUAUGGGCGCCUGUCCUCCUCGUCCACCUCGGCGGCCAGCACAACAUGACUGCCUACAGCAUCCAAGACACCGAGUUGUGGAUGCGCCAUGCCAUAACGGUGGCAUCCCAGGUCUCGGUCGCCCUCUACGUAUUCUGUAAGUUGUGGUCCGGGGAGAAGGGGUUAUUGCAGGCCGCAAUCUUGAUGUUCGUCGUCGGCAUCAUCAGAUCCUGCCAGAAGCCAUGGGCUCUCAAGAGCGCCAGUAUCAGUGCCAUCGCCAGUAGCAGUGCAACCCUUGUUCCCAGCUCUCCAUCGGCGCUAAGGAAACAAGGUAUGGUUGCCCUUUUCUGGCAGGUCUGCACGUGCGGUUAUGGCUAUGGAUUUCAAUCAACCGGAUUUCUGGAAGCAGUAGCCGAAGAGAAGGACAUUUUGCCUCAAGAAUUUGCAAAAGAAGCAAGAAAGUGUGUACUGGAGUCAGAGUUAGCCCAUGAUCAAGACAAAGCAGAACUACUAGCUGAACCUUCGGUGGAAAUGUAUGUCAACAUGGUACUGGGAGACAUACCAGUUCCAUACUCUACCCGGAUUAAAAUCUUACAGCGUUUCAUGGCCCUUGAUUUUCCACAUGCAUAUCACCUAUCAGAUUGCAUGUUCCUUUUGUCAUUUUUGCUCCUCUACACAAGAAAGACCAUUUUAAUCAGUCGCCUUGGCUUAUGUUUGCAUCUCUUGCUCCCAUUCCUGGCCUUAGCUUCUGUCGUCAUCCUCUUUUCCACGGGCCACAAAUAUCUUGGAUACAAAUACAACAUGACAGAUGUCAAGGUAACUUACAUCUUGUUCUCUUGUACUGCGCUGCUGGAUUUCCUAAUGCUAUUGGUUAGUCGUUUCAUCACAUUCAUACCACCAGUCAAGGUUGCCCAGCAUAGCCUCUUGUCGUGUGCUUCUCGCAACAAGAGGCCCACUAUUUUGAUGAAGCUUGCCACAGUUGUCUGCUGCAAGGACUAUGUUAACAUGCAUUGUUAUAUAGAACAGGCACCAGAAACAUCCACAGCCUAUAUUGUACAUUUGGUUCAUGGAUAUGUGAAGGAUGGGUGGAAACAACACAUCCACAACGCUGACAGCUACAGAAGAUUCAAUAGCCGCGGGGGCCAUUGGACUCUGAGGAAGAGGAGGCUUCGGCGCCUGAGGUGGAGCUUGAACAUGGCAUUCGAUAGAAGUGUCCUUCUCUGGCACAUCGCCACGGAACUAUGCUAUGGCAGCACAACCAAUCGAAUUCCAGAAUGCGUCCAAGGAAGCAUGGUGAUAUCCAACUACAUGGCUUACCUGCUCUGCAUCCAUCCUGAGAUGCUAAUGCCCGGGACCAGGAGCAGUAUCUUCACUUUCGCCUGCCAUGAUGUUGAGCUCAUGCUAGGCCAUGAGUCUUCCUUGGGGGAUCUGGUUCCCAAUGCACACAGGCUUCAUUACCAGUUGCUGGAGCUGCAUGACGAAGGGGAGAGGUGGGAGGUGGUACAGGGAGUAUGGGUCGAGAUGCUAUGCUACUCUGCCAGUAGGUGCAGGGGGUACUUGCACGCCAAGAGCUUGAGUGAAGGUGUGGAACUCUUGUCCCGUGUUUGGCUGCUCUUGUUAUUCAUGGGGAUGGAGACAUUCGCGGAUAGGUUUCAGAGGCCCUUUACACGGAGAGAAGUCCACAAUGAUGAUGCAGGCAGAACUGACGAGAACGAGAUUAAUAUUUCUAUUGUCUAAGUUAUAUUUUUUUCAACCUUUAUUUAUUGUGUUCGUUGAGGUUGUCGUGACGACGAGGGACUUUCUUCCUAGUUGUA